UUUUAAUCAGAUGAUGAUGAUAAUAAAUAUCAAAUAAAAUGAGAAUUGAGUGCUUAGUUGAUGAUUUUGUGGUAAAUAUUAAAUUAAUGGUGUUAGAAUUAGAGUACUGUAUUCUCACAGCCGAUUCAGCAUAAAUGGUUUUGAAUUGGAGUACUUAGAAACAACAUAUUAUUAUUUAUUAUAUUAUACAUUAAUUAGGAUACCAGUAGAAGCAAACACAAAACACCAAGUGCCGUUUAUUUUGAUGACAUUAUUAAGGAGGUGGGGGUUUGUUUCGCCCCUGAUAUUCAGAGAUUCUUCCACUCAACUUCGGGGCGGCCAUUGUGCAUGCCGCUGCCAAACUGAUCAUCGCGGCUCUCGUACUGCAUCCUCAUCAUUCUCCCAUCGGCAGCAGCAGGACCUGCACCGUGGUUGUUCAUCAUCAUCAUCAUCAUCAUGUGAUGAUCAUCGUGAUACGGCGACAUACGGCCCCCAGCUGAGGCAUGACCGCUGUAGCUGCCAUUUUGGUGGUGGUACUGCUGCUGCUGCUGCAUGUUUUGAUACGGAUACCUGUUAUGAUGAUUGAACGCCACGUGCUGCUUCAUGUGAUUGUGAUGACCAGGUGGCAUCAUCUGCAUGCUCGAGUAGUACUCAUGAUCCAUGGCGCAGCUCUCCUCGUGCGGGGCAUAGCGCCUAGGGCCAUAGCUCAUCAUCUUGUCAAGCAUCCUUGCUAGCUUCUUGCUAAUUAGUUCUUGAAAUUAGGCUCUGAAUGAAUUUUCUGUUCGUGGUGGGUUGAGAUGUGAAUAAUUUAGGUGUUGCUUAAAUAGGCAAUUUUCAUAUCAGAUGAGAAAGCAUCUAAUGCCCACAGCAGGGCCAUUGCUCGAAUUUUUUUGAUAACUUUUUUCUCCCCCCCUUUUUUGGCUGUCUUCUUGUAAAUUAUUUCUAUAUAUAUAUAUAUAUAUAUAUAUAUAUAUAUGAGUGGUACAGAAUGCAGAAUUUGUUCUCCUAAUUGUUAUAUUAAUAUAUAAAAGCAUAAUCUCUUUGGUUCACCACUUAAAAUAUAUAAGGCUCGACCAGUUUAUCAUAAACAAAGGCAAAAUUGAACAAAAUGGGAAUUAAUAAAAUGAGUGGUGCUGCACAUCCCAAAUAUCGAGAAAUUCUAUAAUAAAGCAUAUAUAAUACAACCAAUUGACGCAUGCAUGACAUGCGUAAUUGAAUUUAAUGUAACCACUAUUUGCAAGAUGAUAUUUCAAAAUAAACGUACAUAUUUCAUAGAAUCAUUUACAUGUCAUUUGGUUGACACGGUACUUCUAAUGCACUGUAGAAUUUCUCCAAUUUAUUUAUCCUGAAAAAUUAUCUCAAAUGAUGACAUUAAGUGGUUAGUCAGGAUAAUACAAUUAAUUGGCUUGGAUUUUAUAAAGAAUUAUCAACCAAUUAAUGAAUGACAUAUCAUUUGAGAUGAAAUUUAAGAUAAAAAAAUUUGGAAUGUUUAUCAUUACUCUUAAUAAAUUAACUCAUAAAAUAUGGACUGGACAAAUAACAAUUUGGGCCGGCUUGAUUAAUCUACGUCAAGGGAACUUAGCCCAAUCUCUUAAUUUCUUUUUGAAAAAAUAAAAUGGAGGGGGAACUGAGAAACGGAAGAUUGCAAAAAAGAUGGCAUUUGAUGGAGGGAAAAUUCGAAGAAAGAACAAGUGACCUUCAGAUUUUAAAAUGAGGGCCAUAAAGAGACCAAUGGACCGAGAACAUCAAAUUUUAUUAUUUUUUUUAAAAAAAAAAGAAGUCUAUAUGAGGAGAAGUAGUGUGUCCUACACUACGACUCAUUAUACGAAGGCAUGCGAUGGUAUAGGAAGAGCGAGAAGCAACUCUUUUUCUUUACUUUCCUUUGCUUUGGAGAAUGUCAACAAACAAACGUUAGGGGCCCCCACUCAGUACUCGUUAACAAGACGCCCGUCCCGUACGAUACUUACGCCGAUGAAAAAGAAAGGCGCUGCUGGAGUCUGAAACAAUCACUGCCAAAAGACUUGCACUGAUUCUCUCUCUUGAGUCUUGACCGCCUGCAAAACCAUUGCAAUUCCCAAAGCAUUCGUUUCUUUUUCCACUCCCAUCUUUCCUAAAUAAAAAAAAAGAAUAUUAUCAUUUUCUCACUAAAGUUAUUCUGAUACAUCGUAUUAGUAUCACGGUAUGAUAAAAAUAUAAUUUUACGAUCAAACAUUUAAAUUGUUAGUAUUUUCUCACCAUUUCGUUAACUAAAUAAAAAUUAUGCUAACAUCAUAAGGGUAUUUUGGACAUCUCAUGCGAAGCCAAAACGUUGUGUUUUACAAUUGUAAAAAAGCAAGCAAUUUGGACAUGAAAGCCCUAGAAAUCGAAACAGCCCCCUCUAUCUCGUUUUUUGUUCCAUCUUCGCCCUCUCUCGCUCGUCACUGACCCAUAUCUCUCUCACUCUCGCAGCAGUGUCGUCUUUUGAGGGUAAUUUUGUAAUUAAAUCAUCUUUUGUUGUUCUUCCUUUUUAAAGGAUAAAAUCAUCUUGUUGUCUUUUGGGAGUAAUUUUAUAAUUAAAUCGUCUUUUGUUGUUCUUCCUUUUUUAAAGGGUAAAAUCGUCUUUUACGCUCCAGGGGUAAAAUUGACUUUUUAUACAUUUUCCAUUAAAUAUUAACUGAGUUUUAACGGAAUGGUGAGAAAAUGCUAACAAUUUAAAUGUUUGGUAGUAAAAUAUUGUUUUUACCAAACCGUGGUACUGACAUGAUGUGUCAGAAUAACUUUAGUGGGAAAAUGAUAAUAUCAUUUUUUUAAAAAAAUACAAAAUGCGCUUCAUUUCUAAAACCAAUAUCAAUGAUACAAACUCCAUCAUUGAUUUAUGAGACUGAACCUCGUGGUAGAGUGAUAGUGUUACGCGGUAUUUAUCAGAUUAAUUAUAGAAUUUUAUCACAUGCUCGCUACAUCAUCUUUAUUAAUCAACAAAUCUAAUACAAGUUAUUUUUUAGAAAAGGAAAAAGGAAAGAAAUUGCUUAGAAUGACAUAGAACUGUCGUACCAAGUUUUUUACCCAAUAUUGUAGGCCAUAAUUAGGGUCAUCACAUUGUGUUUCGGAUUAUGAGUACUACUCGAGCAUGUAAUGCAUAUAAUAAAUUGAUAUGAGUUUAGCACUUCAUAUUAAAAAUAUAACAUCCCAAAGUAUAUUAAAAACGAUGCUUCAAAUAAUGUGUAUCAUAUAUAUCUAUUUAGCGCUUUAUACUAUGUAUGUAAACAACCCAAAAGUAUAUUGAAACUUAUGCGUUAAACAAUGUGUAGUGUAAGAUGAUAUCGUAAUUUUUUUAUGAGAAUAUUACAUUUUAACAUAAGUUUUCAAUAUCAUAUCAUGGUAUCUUGAUAUUAUAUUUUGAAAUUUAUAAUAUGUAACAAGUUUUGGGUGGAGUCCAUAAAUUUAAGAAUGAGGAAUGAGAAUCUCAUUCUCAUAUUUAGGAUGAGAAUGGAGACCAAAUUGACAUUUUUAUCUUUAAAUAAAAUCAAAAUGUUUUUUACAUCAUUUAGAUAUUAAUUAUUAUUAUUAUUAUUACUACUAUUUAUUAUUAUUAUAAUAAUAAAACAAUAAUAAUUUUUUAAUUAAAUAAUAAUAAUAACAACAACAAAAACCACAACAAUAAUAAAAAUAUUUAAUAUUAUAAUAAUAGUUGUCAUUAUUUUAUUAUACUAAUAGUUGUAAUAAUGAUAAUGAUAAUGAUAUAUAAAGUAAAAAUAUUUACACUUUAUUUUGUUAAUGAGCAAUAAUUAGGAGUAUUUCAAUAACAAUUUAUUUUGAUCAUAAGAUAAAAGUAAAUAUAUUAAUAAAAGAGUUGGACUAUUGGCAACCCUCUAAAUAUCUCUUAGCACCCCUUUUCUUAAUUAACCCCAUUAAAAUGUUUUAAAAAAUUAAAUAAUUCUUUUAACACCUCCAUUAAUAACAAAAAUACCCUUAAUUAAAACUUAUUGUGUAAAUCUCAUUCUUUAAUUUUUAUUAUUAAACCCCAUUGUAAUAAUGAGGUAUCUUAUAUUUAAAAGAAAAAAUAAUGGGUUUUCUUUUUUUUUUUUUCUAUUGUAGCUAUCGAUGGUAAAUUCAUUACCUGAAAAUUAGAGGAAAAAGCCACAUUUUUAAUUUCUAAAAUGUUAAAUUUUAUAAGAAAAAAAAAUUAUUUGACUUUUGAGUGGAAGUUUAAUUAGAAAUUAUCAUAUUAUAUAAUUUUCUUAAAAAUUAAAAUUAUAAAAUAAUUAAAAGAGUUUUAAAAAGUAUUUAAAGAGAUAUCAAUAGUCCAACUCUUCAUAAAAAUACAACUAAUUUAAAUUUUCUUUUCAAACUUACUCUAAUUUCUAUAAAAUAUUUCCAAGUUUAACCAAGUGAUAUUAUGAGAUAAAGUAAGUGCAACCGGAAGCAAGUGGAAGCCGCUUUUACUUAAACUUUUUUAACUUUUGGCAAGUGAAAAUGACAAUACCAAUAAGCAACGGACACGUUGAUAAUUAAAAACUCUGAAUUUAUCAGACUUUCGCGUGCCCCAACUUGGGCUAAAAGCAGCGACUUCUUCUCAGUUCUCACUUCUCAUCAGUGAUUUUUAACCAGUCCAGUACACACUGACUAACAACUUUUAUCAUCCAGAUACGAUAAAGGGGGAGAUUCAAAUUGUUUCUUCUCUCCCUUCUCAGCUGCCUUUUUUUUUUUUUUUCCUUAGUUUUGUCUGAUGGGUUGUCUCUCUCUUCUUGGCUUGCCUUUCUUGAAAGACGACGAAAAGGUAAUGAAUAAGAGAGAGAGUGUGUGAGUUGGGAGGGGGAUUUUCAUUUUUGAAACUGAAACCACGUACUACUACUACUACUACUACUACUAGUACUACUCACAUAGCUUGUUUGCUGACCAUUUUGACUGGAUUUUGGACUACUGCGUCUGCGUUUGUGUCUUUAAUUACAACUAUCCCAAUCAAGGUGGGCCGCAAGAUUUAGGAACCUGACAGAUGCUUCCCUUCCCUUCCCUUCUUAACUUAAGGUCACACUGUCAUACCGUGUCAUUGCAUAUUAAAAAUUUCACCAUUAAACUGUUUAAUAAAUAUUAAUUAUUAUACUUUUUAAGACUUAAAUUAAUCCCGUUUUAUAUUAUUAUGCGAUAAAAAAUUCAUAAUAUUUGUAUUAUUUCAUCAAAAUAAUUAUUUUAAAAAUUAUGCUUAUUAUUUAAUAUUAAUUUUCAUUUUAUAAUUAUAAUUUUUUUUAAUUUUUACAGCAACUGUAACUUAAAAACGAUAAUAAUUUAAUAUUAAACAAAACCUUAUUUUUGUAAAUUUAUAGAUUGUUCUGUUGACAAAAAUAAAAAUAAUAGAAUAAUAAACUUAUGUAACAUAAUUAAUAAUGCAUUCGAACGAUGUAAAACAAACCAUGACAUUAUUUGUGCACGUCACUACCAGAUUGUUGCAAUAUAUAUAAGUAUUUUAAAAUAUUAUAUAUAUAUAUUAACAAUGGUUAUAAUAGAGUUGUUUUAUCAUAAAAUAUUAACUAUGACCGUCAAAUUAUAAUAAUAAAUACAAAUCUCUGUAAUCAUACGGUUAUGAUCGAUGCUCUAAUGUAUACUAAACUCGGCAGCUCUUUUAUCGUUUAUCUUACCAAAGAAUCCAAGGUGCGUCUUCUAUUAAUUCACAAAUGCAAUACGUGUGAUGUGAGAGGGGAUUGUUUACAAAAAGACAAGAAAAAAGAAAAUGAAGAUUGAAGAACCAACUCAUCGGAUUCAGAAACGCAGUGCAUUUCCCAGUAAGAGUGAGUCAAAACACAAGUCGUCUUCCACGGUUGAAAGCUCACUCGGACUCAUCUGGGAUUUGCUUCGGGGAUUGUAAUGGGAACCUUCCCGAGGAAGUUUAUUUUUUCUAACUGACAUUUUUGCCCCUUUAUGAAACAAAACAAACAUACAACAGAAGCACGCAUCGUAUCAUAUUCAUAUUCAUUCAUCAACAUAACUAAAGAAGUUUAAUUAAUUAAUUAAGUUUAACUAACACUAACAUACUGAUUAAGAAUUCAAACAGAAAGUUUUGAUGAUACUCUUGACUAAAAACCUAAUUAAGCUAAGCAAUAAGGACAGUACGGCAGGGGCAAAAAAAAAAAAAAAGAAGAACAUAAUAUGAUCUCCCUAUCAUCUUCUUCUUCCUCAUCAUCAUCAUCAUCAUCAUCUUUAGUAAUUAGGGUUAGGGGGACGAGAAGGUGGGGCCCAAUGCAUUACGUGAUGAUGAUCGGGAGCUAUCUGGCAACUGAGAGGUGUAGGAUUACCGGCAACAGCAGCAACACCAUAAACAGGCAUGGUCUUGCCCGCACUAGAACAAGACUCGGUUGCUGCGCUUGCACCAACGAUAUUAGGCUUAGUCUCAGCAUCUACCUGAUUAUCACCUUCAUCGGAGGAAAUGGGCAGGCUGUGAACCAAAGGGUUGAGGAAUGUAGCUGCCACCACCACCACCUUACUCGCCGCCGUCACCUUUCCGGCUACUAUGCCUCCGAACACCUGCCCCUGUGCCCCGGCGAGUGUGACGCCAAACGAAGAAGGAGAAGAAGAUGAUGAAGAAUCGUAAAACGAGCCGGAGAGCGAGAGAAGGUGGAAGGGGCCGUGAAGAGAGAGGGAAUGCGCGUGAGAGAUGGGCUGGCGAAGGGUGACGUGAGAGACUGAGCCGGAGGCGCUGACGAGGGAAAUGCCCGCGUGGUUCCUACGCGCGAAGGUGAUGACACUGUCGAUGAUAUCAGCUCCAGCGGAUAUCUCGAGGAUGACGGGCUUCAUGGCCGACGAGUCGGUUAUGUCUCUGGUUAUUACGACGGGCGGCUUGGGCUUGUUCUUGGAACCGGGAGGCCUUCCUCUAGGCUUACGCGUCGCGUUUUCAGGCGUUGAUGAUGAUUCGAUCACCAUCAGCUGCUGAUGGUGGUGGUGGUGGUGAUGGUGAUGAGAGUUUUUGUUUUUCUUAGAGGAUGAAGCAGGGGGAGGGCUGUGUUGGUCGGAGGAGGAGGAGGAGUCAUCAGCAGCAGCAGCGUGGGCAUAGUCCGCCAUUGCUGGGGCACCUGUAAAAAUUAAUAUUAUAGAGAAAUAGACUGUAUAAUGAGUUAAUUUCUGGGGCUUUUUAUUCUUAAAUUAUAAAAUACUGGGAAGGAUUGGGUCCCACACGGCUGAUGCACUGUGGGACCCACACACAUGAGAUGAAACAUCCCAAAGCGAGAGAUAAUUUUUCUUUGAUGUUGAGACAUGAGAAGUUAUGUACGUUACAUUAACAUCAAUCUAUGGGUUGAGAGAUUGAUAAUUAAUUAUACACAGUUGUGAGUGGAUUGAGGUGCCACUGCUUUUGUAAGUAGGCUUACUGGUGUGCUGGGAAAUUGAGUUGAUUUAACCGCAUAUUUAUAUUAUAAAAAAUUUCUAAUAUCUUUAUUAUAAAAAAAAAUUAUUAAUUUACAUUUGAGCUCUUUAGUUAUGGUUUAUAAUUUCGUCUGUCUAAAUGAGACUAUUUAGUGUAUACACUCUGUUUUGGGGAAUUUCAAAUUUUGCAAAAUGUUCUCCAUUUAGAGGAUCCAAACAUGGUGUUUUUCUGUGAGAUUAAGAUAUAAUGGUGCGUUUAUUUUAUGAGAAUGUGAAUGAACUGGAAUGGGAAUGAGUUUUCAAUGUUUACUUAACAAAAAUAAAUGGGAAUGAGAAUGUGCUGGAAUGUCAUUGAUGUGUUUACUUGGCAAAAUAAAUGGGAAUAAGAAAUGAGAAUGAGAAUCAAUUUACCAAAAUAUCCAUAGUAUUAAUAAUUAAUAAAAAUAAUUAAUUUAUCAUUAUUAACAAUAUUAUCAUUAUUAUUAUUAUUAUUAAAAAUAAUAAUAACAAUAAUUAAUAAUAAAUAAAAUAAUAAAGUUAAUAAAAUUCAAUAAUAAUAUUUUUAUUAAAUUAGUUAUUAUUAUUAUUAUUAAUUUUUUUAUUUAUUAAUAUUAUCAUUAUUAACAUUUGUUAUUAUUAUUAUUAUAUUUUAUUAACUUUAUUAUUUUAGUUAUUAUUAAUUACUACUACUAUUAUUUUUAUUAAUAUUAUCCUGCUCAUUAUUAAUUAUUAUUAUUAUUAUUAUUAAAUUUUAUUAACUUUAUUAUUUUAGUUAUUAUUAAUUAUUGUUAUUAUUAUUUUUAUUAAUAUAAUAAUAAUAAUAAUAAUAAUAAUAAUAAUAAUAAUAAUAAUAACAACAACAACAAUAAUAAUGAUAAUAUUGUUAAUAAUGAUAAAUUAAUUAUUUUUAUUAAUUAUUAUUUUUAUCAUUAUUUUUAUUGUUAAUAAUGAUAAUAUUAAUAAAAAUAAUUAAUAAUAACUAAAAUAAUAAAUUUAAUAAAAUUUAAUAAUAAUUAUUAUUAUUAUUAAUGACAUUUAAAAUAAUAAAAUUAUUUGUGAUUUGAACAAGGGUAAUUUAGGAAAUAUGAAAAAAAUUAUAAGGAUAGAAAAGUAAAUUUGUGUUUCAUUUUCAUUCCCAACCCUCCCAUAGAAAUUAGAUUCCUAUUCUUUAUUCCCAAAUUAUGUGGGACCCACACAAUUUAUUCUCAUUCCCAAAUUCAAUUUUGUCAAGUAAACAUAUCUUUGAUUCUCAUUCCUCCAUUCUCAUUCAUUAUUUCAAGAAGUAAACACACCAUAAAUGGUUGCUUGCAUGGAAAGUUUUGCUCGGUGGUUGGGUUUUUCUAGAUUUUUUUUUUAUAAAGAAAGUAAGCCUUUCAUUAAUUCACAUCAGUAAAAAUAUUUUAUCUUUGCUGGGAGAGAGUCCAGUCAUACAACAAGACUAUUGUGUCUUAAAGUUAAUUUAGCUAAGGAAAGGGCAUAAGCAUUACAUAAUCUAGAGAUGCACUGACAUUUUACAUGUUGAAAAUCUUUAUUGUUACUUUGGAUUUUUGAAAUUAUCCACAAGAUUUCUGAUUUGCUACCCUGCUUGUUGUUUACUAAGCUUGCAACAUUUUGGCAGUCAAUUUCUACGACUUUAGAUUGGAACUCUGUAUUUCUGGCUGCCUGAAAACCCCAUUUUAUAGCUUCAACCGCUACAUAUUUAACAUCUCCAUCAAGUUGAGUUUGCUGAAUUGCUGCAACUAUUAUUUUGUUAUAUGAGUCCCUAAUUACAACUUCCAAGCUUGCUAUAGUCUCAUCACAUCUAAUGGCUGCACCUACAUGAACCUUGACAACAUGAGCAGGGAGGGGACUCCACUUUUGAUGCAUUUUAGAUAGCUUACUCUCUGCAAAACUUUAUUCAAAUUUCUUAAGUAUCUUAAAGGCAUCCAUCACUAGUUAUGCCUUUGCAACACUUUCCAUACAGUAGAAACUUUUCUUAUCAAAAAUCCACAUCAUAAAACACAAAAUCCAGCAAAAUAAAAUUAACAAACGCAGAUUUGUAAAUAUGGGUAAAGAAACAAUAACAAACCACCACAAAUCUCUAGAUAUGAGUGGAAGAAUAUACCACCACAAUUUUAAAAAUCUGAGUGGAAAAACAAAACCACCACAUAUAUGAGGAUUUGAGUGGAGAAAAAGCAAAAAAAAAAAAGGAAAUGAAAAAAAAAACAAGGUUUCGUUGGAAAACCAACUCAUAGAGUUGAUUUUUCGGCGAAAAAAUAGUUGAAAUGUUUCUGGAUGUUUAAAGGGAUUUGUUAUUUUGAAUUUUUCUAGAUGUUUAGUUGUAACAAGAAUGAGGAUUUGAGUGGAGAAAAAGAAAAAAAAAAAAGGAAAUGAAAAAAAAAACAAGGUUUCGUUGGAAAACCAACUCAUAGAGUUGAUUUUUCGGCGAAAAAAUAGUUGAAAUGUUUCUGGAUGUUUAAAGGGAUUUGUUAUUUUGAAUUUUUCUAGAUGUUUAGUUGUAACAAGAAUAGGAUUGGGUUUUUGUUUCAACUAUCAAUUAAUUAUCAUAUAAACAUGAGCUAAAAAUUAUUUUUAAAAAAUAGAUGCGUGAAUAUAAUAUAACACAUAGAAGAUAUUCACGCUCACUCUUUCUAUAUAUGUAUCUCAUAUUUAGUUCAAAGUUUAAAAUCUCAAUUUGGAUCAUUAUAAAUAAGGGAGACUCAAACCCUCUACCAAGACAAUGAGUGCAAGUAAUUUACCCCCCUCCCCAAAAAAAGAGUGAUUUUAGUUAGAUUCAUAUUUGUUUUUAAAUGUAAUUUUAUCAGAAGGGGCGUCUUUCAAGGAUAACGAUGGGUGUUGUUGAUAGGAGCACUCUUAAACAUCGAUUAAUCAAAUGUCAAUUGGGCUGGGCUUGUGGGAUUGGGCUUUGGUGCAAAAACAGUUCAAGACAACCAAUGAUUUUAAUUUUUUUUGGGGACAAAUUAAUUUAAAAAAAAAAAAAAAAUUGAAACGAUAUCUUGAUACAUGUCCAUAUUCCGUUAUGAAUUAUCAAUCGAGGUUGAAUUUAGUACCCAACUCCGACCCAUUUUGAAUUGGUCCUAAAAGAAUUGACCGAAACCCUAAAUCCAAACACGCACAGCAUUAUCGCGCCUCAUUACAUAUUCAUGAAAUUUUCAGUUUAGUUUCAUAUCAUAAAAUUCUUUCACUUGGGGAAGCACCAACUUGAUGAGAGAUUCUUUCUGUCAAUCAUCAGAAAGAAUCUUACAUGCAUGGCAAAUGUUUUAUAGUCAUGGGAUUUCUAAUGGUUUACAUAUAUAUAUAUAUCUAAAUUACAUUUGUAUACGUUAAAUUUCCAGUAAGAGAACUCUUACUAACUAGAUGCUUGAUUUUUUUUCUUUUCUUUUUUCAAAUGUUUAUAUGAAUAUUUUUAUAAAAACUUACACCAGCUGUCUUAAAUAGGUGGCGACCCAUAAUUCUUAAUCUAAUUGGAAAAUAAAAGAAAUAAUGAGAAUAUAUUAUAAAAUUGACUGAGAAGUAUAACCUCACGUACACACCACGCUUGUUAAAUUACCAAACAAGUACCUUUACCAACUUUUUUAACAGGUAAUUUUCAUGUAGUCCUAGUUCUAUCAAACAUCUCAUCGUAUUAUAUUAUAUAUAAAUUAAUUAUUUCAAAAUCUCGUUUGAAAAUAGAUUUUCCAAGAAUCGAUCAGACGCGGCGACACCAAACACAGCCAAAAUUUUAUAAGAACACAGGUGAUUGCUUAGGAUUCUACUGGAAGCACUUUCUCGUUUAAGUGCUUUUGCAUGAAACAAAGGUUUCCAUUUUCAAAGACGCGUAUCACAUAUUGUGCUGAAAUUGGUUUAACUACCCCACCACAGAGACAAUGAUAUCCACCAGAAAAAUUAGUGGGGUUCCAAAAAGAAGUUGGCCAUGAUUGUCAACCUUCUAUCAUCCCACAAUGCACAUAUUUUCCUUCUCCAUUAGCGAAAAAGAAAAUAUAUCAUCUUAUUUUUCUUGCAUGAAUAUAUCAAUCAAUUAGUUUCCUUAUAUAUAAUUUGAUUGGUGAGCUUUUUUGACUGGAAAACUACAAGGGAAAAGUGUGAAUUCAAUUUUUAGAUUGGAACAAAGAAAUAAAGCUAGUGGGGAGAAUUCUUCUGAUGCAUUUUCUUUGAGGAUAGCAUUUUGAGCUGGUAUAGCAAAUUUGUGGACUCUAAUAAGAAUGUUUAUAUUUAAAUUUCCUAUAAAUCUAAUAUCUUAGCCCCAAUAGACACCUUUAAUUAGGAGUAAUCCAAGACAGACUGAUAAAAAUUAGUAUUUUUUUUAAAAAAAAAAAGUUUAAAAGGCCAUUUGCUUUGUGCUUUUUCUUUUUGUUAUCUUUCAUCAUUUGGGGAUUGAAAGAGGAUUGAAAAUGGUGCCAAUAACUGUAGAUAUUGAUUAAAACGCAAUAGGUGCAAUCCUGAUCACCCAGCAGGCCAAAAGGAACCUUUAAAAGGUAAGCAAGAAACAAAGAAUUUGAAAAUGAAAUUGAUAAUUUCUCCACUUAAUUACAUUCUUAUCUUGAAUCCCAAUUCUAAACAGAGAUAUUAAAAUACACCAAAGUCAACAAAGCACCUUGAUUAAUAAUUGGAAUAAACUUUUACAAAACACUGAGCUAGCUUAAGUUGCAACCCUUUCCCCACACAGACAACUUUAAUUUAUUCACUGUUAUGUCAAAUUGAACAGCUGACAAAUCACUGUUAUGUCAAAUUGAACAGCUGACAAAUUUCCUAAAUGCCUCAAAAGCUACAACCACAUUGCCAUGGGAUCUGCAACAACAUGACUGAAUUGAAAAAAAAAUCCAUCUUCAUGCAUGGUAUUUUAUAUAGAACAUAUUAAACAAGAUUAAUCCAAUUAAAAAUAUGUUACCAGAAACAAUUAGCUCGCUAGGUAGCAAUCAGAAGAAUGCCCGGCUGCCAUAGAACACCCGUGAUCCAUCCUUUUUCUUCUUCUGAUCGAGCCCAAUCUUAUUGCUGUUAUUUUGAAUCACAUCACCGUGGUGAUCAUCUUCGCAAUCCGGUUUGUGAUGAUCAAGAUCCAUUGGUAGCUUCAUUUUAGCCAAAGAUUCCGUAAACUGUUGCAUACUUCUCAUGUACAUGUCCACAAUUUGCUGCUGCAUGGCUGACUGCUCUGCCUCGAGAUUUAUUGUCCCCAUAGGAGCUGAAAACACUUGAUGACGAUGACCAAAUUUAGCAGCGGGAUCAAUAAUAUUGUUUUCUAAUCCCUUCUUGCUGCUUUUUUCUUCUUCUUUUUCUUUGUGUUUUUGGUCUUUGGCUUCAGAUUCCUUUCUUGAAGUUGGAGUGUCCGGACAGGUUCCUGAGCUCGGAAUAUUAGCAUCACUUAGACCCAAUUGGUUCUUUUUCGGAACAGAAUCAGCCGAUGAGUUUCUAUCAUCACUCAAGCUAGUGGUGGUUGAACUCAAGAAACCUGAAUUCUGAAUGCUAUUGCUACCAUUUGGUGAAUUUAUUGCCGUCAUUUCAUAAUCAUUAUCAACAAGCUGAGGCAGAAGAGGAGGAGGAGGAGGAGAAGUGCCGAGAUGAAGAAAUGAUGCAGCAGCAGUACCGUCAAAGUACUCAGAAACCAUCUGCUGAUUCUCUCUGACAACUUUGAUGUCAGGAAACUCAAUUCUUGAAUACUCAACAGGGUCCAAAAGCGCUGCGGCUUCUGAGAUCUUUGAUCUGUCAAGCAAUACAACUUCUGAAGAUAUUGAAGAGUUAAUGUUACUGGUGGGUGGAUUAAGAGUCAGAGGAGUGUUCAAAGAGAGAGAUAGCUUGACAGUGCCAGCAGGGGAAUGAAAGAGAUCGGUGGAAGAGAGAUUGUAAUCUUGAGUAACAACUUUUCCAUUGCCAACAACUUGUGAAAUUGGCACCAAAGCAAAUCCAAGAAGCUGAUCUUCCAUGUAGUUUCUAGCUCUGCUAAGCAUCCAGAUUUCACAUUUCAGAACGGCGCCGUCGAGUUGAUUGAUUUUGAUGAUCAGUUUCUCAUUGAACUCAGGGUUCUUGCCACCUCCAUUGAUGACUUGGGUUGAGUGAGUCUCAUCAGGAUUGUAGGUGAGAGAGAAUUUUGCAUACACGUCUUGGUUGUCGUAGAUACAAAUGUUGUGAAUAUUUCUCGCAUGAUGAACGAAGAUUUCAAGAAUCCCCGAAAAUUCAGAGUCGUUGAAAGAAUCCAUCUCAAGAAAGUUGAUUCAAAGAGGAGGAAAAUAGGAUUUUGAGAGAGCAGAAUGAAUGAUGUAGCUAGUGUUUGUUUAUUAUUAUGAUCAAUUGUAUCACUUUCAAAUUGUGGGUUGUUGGGUAAGUUAACAAAAUCAUUCCAUGAAUUCAAGGUAAAGAUUGGCUCACAAUGGAAUAGAAGAGGUGGGUUUUGUGGUAGGUAAGAAUGAAAAGGGUUAAACAAAAAUAGAAAAGAAUCAAAGAAGAAGAAGAAAUUGAUAAUGGUGAUGAUGAUGUUAUGUGUUUUUUUUUUUUUUUCCUACCUUUUAUCCAUGCUGUCAUUUUACUUUUGGACAUCUUUCAUACUCAUUUUUAACACUUAUUGGGGACAGUUUAAGAUUGCAGUGGUUAAAGAAAUAAAUUAUUUCUGCAAUGUGGAUAAAAUAAGUUAUUGAUUAAAAGAGUAAAUUGGUAUUUUAAAAUUUUUGCUGUUACAGUUGCUGUGAGUUUAAAAAAAAAUACAUUAGUUUAAUAAAUUUUAUCACGAAAAUUUUAUUUUAUUAUAUAUUGAUCAAAUAAACAUAAAUUUAAAUUGCAUUUUAUUAUAUAAUUAUCUUAUUUAUGAAAAAAGAAGAAGAUAUAAUUAUCUUUUUAUUAAUAUUUUAAUGUUAAAAUAAAAAUUUCAAACAGUUAUGAUAACUUGUUCAAUAAGCUACUUAUAAAAAAAACAAUUCAUUUCCUACCGUUAAAAAUUACAAUAAAAAUGAAGAAACAUGUGCUGCUUUUAAGACAUUUCCUAGACACCAAUUUUGUCAAAUUUUAUAAAAUAAGUUGUUGAUAGCAUUUUAACGUCAAUCUUAACUGGGGAUAAAAGAUUUUUUUCCAGCAUUAGAAAUAAAUUCUUGGAAAAUCCAAAAGUAAAUAAACAGACAGGUGAAAAUUUUUGUUAUGAACAAAUAGUAUUACUGUGAAAUUUAAGUAGAAACUAAAAUUAACUUCUUUAUGAAAGAUACCCAUCUAUUGUAAAAUUAUUUUGUCUCUCUUUUGGGGUGGGUGGGUGAGGGAUAGAGAUUUAUGGGGCGAUUACUUUGCUUGACAUUGCAACUUCCACUAGUAGUGCCUGUAUUUUCUCCACCGAGGGAAAUGGAGGUCCCCCAGUUUGGGCCCAUCUUCAUUAUCACUCCAUCUAAAAUAAAAGAAAUGCUAUUCCAAUCUUUAAGACAAAAUCUCUUUAUUUUUGUGGGAGGAAAAUGCAUCUCCACUUUCAUACUCUAUUGACAAAAUAAACAAACUAUGUAAAUUACAAUGAAAGUGAGAAGAUGUGAAACUCCUACUUCAAGUUUGUAAUACUUUGAAUUAAGCUCUCUUAAUUAAUUCAAAAAAAUAAUGUUGCAAUGUGGACAAUUGUAUGGCCUUGCAACAUGUAUAAAAGUUUGUAUCAAAAAAAAAAAUUAUCUAUGUAUAAAGUUACCAUAUUAUGUCUAAGUUAUUAUGUAAUUUGAGAUUUAUAGUAAUGAUAUAACAUUGUCUCACUAAAAUUUAUUAAAGUAGAUAAGUUAUAUAAGAGUUUGUAGCUUUAAUAUAUUAUCAAUCACAUGGAUCUGUGUUAGCUUACAACUGUUGUAUACGAUGAGUUUUCGUUACAUUUUGUAACUUAAUUGCAUGUUUUUUAAAUUCUAUGUUACACAUUCCAAGCAAGGUAUAAGUUCAUUAAUAUAACGAAAUUUUAUAGUUACAACAUACUUGUAUGAAGAAAAUUAUUUUGUUACAGUUGUAUCAUACAAUUAAUAUAAUGUAGGGUCCGUUUGGGAUUAUUUUGAAAGAGUCAAAAGUGAUUAUGAAAAUCUAAAAGUUAAUUUUGGUAUUUGGUAAAUUUUUUAAGAAAUUGCUUUCGGCAAAAUCACUCGUCCUAUAGUAAAUUUUGAAAAACAGAGAAAUAGAACUUUUCAAAGGGUAAGGCUAUUUGAACCCACAAUAGUAUACUUGACACCCAUGUUUUUGUAAUUUUUUUUAUUACUUUAAUAGCCUUAAGUGAAAUUACUCAAAAGUUAAAGGGACAAAAUAGAUUAAAAUAGCAUAUACACCCAAUCUAUCACGAUUCAUAAAUCUGCCUAUUUUCUUUUCAUAAAUUUUUAUUCAAAGUAAGAGAGAAAGUUUCAUGAUAUUAAACUUACUAAUUAAUUAUGUAUUCAAGUGUAAUCUAUGCAUUUCUGGUAACUAGUUACUGAUAAUCAGUGUCCCUAAUUGUGUAUUUGGUGUAAAGAUACAGGUGCGGAAGGAAAGGCUACACAAAUACAGUUCUUUGAUCUUUUCAUGCUUUUAAAGUUACAAAAUUUAUAUAUGAGUUGAUAAAGAAUGAAUUUUCUCUUUUUUAGUAUUUACAUCACAUCACUGUCGUUUCUUGUUCAAAUCUUACUAUUGUGCAGCUCGACAUGAAUUUUCUUUUUCCUUCCUUUUUUUUUUUUUUCUCUUUAAUCAAAUGAUGGCAAGCAACUCAAAAGUUCUGUUGAAUUUUCAUAUGAUUUGAAAGAGUUUUAUGGCCAUUUCCACUUCUAACUUUUCAUAAACAGCAAUUUGUCUUGAUGGAAAGGGGAAAAAAAAUUCUUCAUGUGUGGGUUGGAGAAGAAAGAAGAAAAAUGAAUAAAGGAGUAAAUUGGAAUUAAAUUUAAAAUUUAAUGGGUCUUAAAAGAAAAAAUGUGAUUUUUAAAAUUUCACGAUGAGUGUAUUGAGAAAUUGGGUGGAGAGAAUAUUUUUGUGGGUUUAAAUAGCCCCACCCCUUUUCAAAAUGUGAUUUUGAAAAUUACUUUUAUACUUAAUACAAUUCUAUAUAUUUCCUCAUAUAUAUUGUAAAAUUCAAAAUUAUCAUUAUUAAUUAAGAAAUAUAAUCAUUAUUUGUAAAGAGAAUAUUAUUGUUACUAACUAUAUUGAAAUAACAAAAUAAAAUAAAAUGAGUAAUAUAAAUAUUUAUUUUUGUUAUUGAUGAUUUUAUAUAUACAGACACACACACACAAAAAUAAAAAUAUUUUAUAUACAUGUUUAUAUAAGUAUAAAUAAAUUUUAUUCAACAUUAUGUCUAAUUCAGUCAUUUAUAUUCUUACAAUAGUUUAAUUAUAAGAUUUACUAAAUACACACGACUGCUCUUAAAAUUGACAACACUUUUAAAAAUAAAUUUUACUAAAUAUUUAGCCGGUUUCCGUACGUAGCUUAUUACUAUUACAACAUAGUUAAUAAAAAUUAUUUUUAAAACUACAAUAUUACUGAAAUAAACCGUAGUAUCCCCUAUAACAUUUGCAUAAUUGACAUUUUUCUACCUGAAAAAAUUGGAGGCACUUGAUUUCCAGACAACUCUCUUCCAUUAUCAACAUAAAAUUCGUUAACCUAAGACAUUACACAAUGAACUCAGCGCGGGCACGCGUGUAGUGUAUACAUGUAGUCUAAAAUAUAUUUAUGAUGUUAUUAGAAAUGUUGCCAUAGAAUAGAAUUUCCAAUAAUAUAUAUGAUUAUCUGUGAACAUUCGUAGAAAUGAAGUCCUUAGUAGAUUUGUCGUCACCUAAUUUAGGUAAAAACUUGCUUAAAUUCAAAGUCAUAAAUCAAAUUGUUGUAUUGCGCAACGAACCGCUCAUUCAUUGUUUGUCAAAACGAAAAUGCUGGCAAUGACGACGUUGAUAGCCAACAUAAUUUAAAUCUGUGUUCACAUGUAGAAUCAACGCAAGGAAUUUAUGGGUGAAAUUAUUUACACUCUAAAAAAAAAAAAUUACUUUGAAAACUUUAAUUUUAAUAAAUAUAUAUAUAAUACAAGUAUGUAUACCCAUCAUAUAAAUUAUGAAUAUUACAUAAUUAUUUUGAAUAUUCAUUUAUCAUACUGAUUAUUCAAUGUAUCAUUCUCAUAUUUUUAAACCUUAAAAUUUUUUUUUUUUUCAAAAUUUUAAUUAAUACUUAGAUGAGAAAUGAGGAAAUCAAUAUUAUAAAAAAAAAUUGACUAGAAAAUAUAUAUCAUAUUCUUUUUAAAAAAUAACAUUAAAAGGUUCUUCUACUCCUUUUUCUUUUUAUUUUUCUUGGUGGUAUUUAGAGAAUAAUUUUUAUUAUGUUCUUGCAAUUUAUCUUAAAUAUAAAAUCCAAUAUUUUACCGAAAUAAAUUAAAAAUUAAUAUCAAAAUGCAAUAUAACACGUAAAAUGUUUCUGAUUAAAAAAAAAAAAACAAGAAGAAAUUGCACCAUACAAUAACGCAACGGACAAUCAUCAUUCAUGAAAAUGGGUUAACCGAUAAAUAUCCAUUGAGAAAAAAAAAUUAAAAAAAAGGUCUGUACACAUUGAUGACUGUGGGCAUGCAUCAAUUUCAGUUAAUUUUCUACUAAACUACCCUUUGAGUACCGUGAAACGCACGAUAUGGUUCAGGUACAAUCGUAAAUUAUUGAAAGCCUACAUUUCCAAGAAGUUUGUCGAAUGAAACGAUACAACAUACCAGUGAUAACUGAUCACUGGACAUCUGACCAGCUAACAUGUAAUUAUUUCAGAGUUAAAAGCAAGGAAAUACUGUACAACUAUGGAUCAAAUACAAGGUGUCCAGCUUACUGGCUACAGCGAGCCUCAAGGUUCCGUCCCAGCCUUGCCAAAUGCUGUUGAUGCUUCGCAGCAGCUGCCUUAUCAGCAGCUUCACGUUUAAGUGCCCUCUUUGCCCGUCGCCCAGUUGUGACUUUUGCAACUUCUUUCUUCUUGGGCUCGCGAGAGGAACUGGCACCCACGUCCUGAGAAUUUGGACAGUAAACAGGCCUUGCUUCUUGACGCCCUGCCCUAACAUAUCCAUUAUCACCCCACCUUCGGUUACCAAUACGAAGACUUGAUGAACUGCGGAAGUAAACUUCAUCCAGAUCAUCCUCUUCAUCCUCGUAGGAAUAAUCAUCUUCCAGAUCAUCUUGUACCACUACAUGAUCCUCCACAAUCAAAGGUUUAAACCAUGUGGCUCUAAGAAGUAAGCACACACUCUCCUCGAACAUGUAAUCACUGAUGCUGUUAUAUGACAAAGUAUUAAUGAGUGACAAUUUUCCAUACAAACAUAAACUUAAGGAACUGAGUAAUCGCAUUUAAGAGUUACAUUUCUUUACCACCCACUUUAAGGUUACAUACAUUUAUAACAAAGUUCUGAAUUGGGUUAAAUAAUUACCAAUUACUUCUUUUUCCCCCUUUUUUUGGCCAUAUCGUAUAUUAGUUAUCAAAAUUGUGUGUGUUUAGGAUCACGUAUCUAAAAAACAACUUGAAAGGGUUUGGUGAUUGUUACCUGCCAUCAAGGGAACGGUGAACAUGGAGGAACUCAAAUGGAUGUUUACACUGUGGGCAGGUUGGAUUCCUAACAUAUGAGGCCCAUCGAAGGAUGCAAGUUGCGCUGCACAGAACAAAGAAAGAACGUCCAUUACUGCUACCAUUUCAUGUCGUUGACUCAAAACAUUUGGGGGAAAAAAUCCAUCCAACUUUCCAUCCUACAUGAUUCUUUCUAUGAAGUCAAAAUAAUCAUUUUUUUUCCCUCAAUUACAAGGAGAAGAUAAAAAAUAGAAUAUACGAAUUAGUUCCAAGAGCCGGUUGUACCAUGCUCGUUACGGAAAGUGACAUUCUAGCUCUCAUUAUAUGAUAUAAGAAUUUACAAAAUAUCUUGGAUUCCAUAUAAUUUUCAUACAAGAGAUGGUAAGCUGAAAACCCCACAUAUUAACUCAUAGUCCUGCAUAGAACUCUAACCUAUAAUACGAAGAUGAUCAACGAGUCUUCAUGUAUGUCACAGUUCCAAAACCAACAAGUCAUGAGGCUGAUUAUAUUAAGGAAACCUCUAACUACGAGACAACACAAAUAGAUUGAUUCUUGCAACAGCAUUUUUGAGUUUUUCAAAAUUUUCUCCUUUUUUACCAGAACAAAUGCCUAAGAAAACAAGCAGAUUGUCUCUGUAAAUUGAAUUAACAAGUUCUAUUACUAAAAAAAGGGUAACAAGGAAAAAAAAAUCCAAAAAAUAAACAUAUUAAAAGUCCAUUUCAAUUGCAUGGCACAACAUUAAAUUGAAGAAUUGACUGUACAAAGAAGGUCCAACAAUAUAUAGGUAUGAAAAGGAAAUUGAAUCCAAACCACAAAACUAAAAGCAUACUUCACUCGUGUGUACAAACUACACGAGUACACGUUGAUACUCAUUUACCAUCAAAUAUUGCAGCAUUGAUUACCGAAGAAGCUUCUAACAUAAACGGGGACAUCUGAGAACUUAUCUGGUUUUAAUUCCAGUCUAGUCACCUUUGGGUUUAAAUCCCUUCUAGUCAAAUAUAACAAUAUAUCUCCAAAAUAACUCUUUAAAUAUAAAUGACUCCCAUGCCAAAACAAACAGCAGCUUUGGCAUGCUUCAUAACCAAAAAAUACUGACCAACUCAAUAUUCCACAGAGGAACACAAAUCCACAUAAAACGUUAGUUUUUAUCUUCACAGAACGGCCUAAAGCAUAGAUGAUAGUCAUCACAAAUUCGUGAAACAAAACAAAUGAGUAAAAGUGAGUAAACUAACCAGAAAAACUAAAAGAUCAAGAGAAAGGAAAAGAAUAGCAAGUAAAAAGGAAAACUCAACAUAAGCAUAAGAACAGCAUGGCUCUGAAAAUAAAAACCUGAACUCUAUUGUCCUUAGUUGUUUCUCAAGACCCUUUAUGAGUCACUCAAACAUACAAGCAAUGUGAGACACUAAAGCAAGCAUCACUUAGAGCUCAAGAAAGGAUAAAGAACUGCAAAGUGUACCAACUAUGGAAAACUUCGAACUCUAAUCAAAUACCAGUCAAUAGACAAGGCAGCCAUUUCAAACAUAAAACAGAACAAGGUUAAAGUGGGGGCCAAAAUGCCCAAUCAGAUGGUAAACCAUACAUUUAACUGUGAUCAAUUUUCGCCUCACUUCAGUUAUCUCCCUCUUAAGCAAAAUUGAAACCUAACCGGCUAACCCUGCCAAUAACCUAACAACUUCAUCAGAACCACACAAUCCUAGAUAUCCUAAAACAUACAUUCUCUAGGGGAAAAAGUCCAAGGCAACAAUGUAAAUAAUCAAAGACUACUAAACAGAAAUAUUUCAUAUUACAAGCAAAAGAAUUAGAUAACUAGAGACAUGAGAGAAACCAGCAGAUGUCCAUCGGAGAAACUGUAGACAAGAAAACAAUUCAAAGAAUGCCCCCAAGGCAAGCUCUAUCAAAGUUACAUAUGCAACAGACAUAGUAUUAUAGCGGAGAAACUCCAAUAAACACUCAUCAUGAUGCUUGACAAGAGAAUUAUUCAACAACUAACAACUACAGGGCCUAAGUUCAACUAAAACAUAUACUUGCAUCAAAGCCAAGUCCACACUCCAUAUAUGCUUACAUAAACCAUAUUUUCUCAAUUCUUACUGCAUUUAACUUAAUUUAUUUUGAUUUAUUUAUUCACUGAAAAUUUAUUUUGAUUGCAAAUUCUUCUAUCAUUGGUUAAAAUUAUUUAAAUACUAGAUACAUAAAUACACUCAUAUGCCGAGUACGAAGGGUGAGAGAGAGAGAGAAGAGUUGCAGUAACAGCAAGAUAGUUAAGAUUUGUGACCUCGAAUCCAAGGCCUAUUUCAGAUGUCCCUAAACACUCUUAACUUAUCAAAUGCGCUAAUAAAUAAUCUUCACAGGAAGAUAGGGCAUAAUAACAGAAUUUGUGAUGCAUAAACUCCAUUCCGAAUAACACAGCAAAAAGAUGAGAGAUUUGAUUAGAACAAACCAGUAAGCGUGCUCGCAACCUUUUACAAGAGCCGUUUCCUGGAGAACUGUCUUGUCCAAGCAUAUCGCGCAAACCCCUCCAUGAUUCCCAAACCCCAUUUCGCGAUUGUCUGCUUUACUUUGCAUUUCUCCCUAAAAAUGAGAGGAAAAAAAUCCAACUGUAUAACUUCAACACUAGAAUGAAAUAAAGAUGAACCUACAAUCACAACCAAUCAAUGAUAAAUGACCAAAGCUUAAAAACGGUUUCUCUAAACAGCAAACUAACAACAACAUUGAUCCCCAAAACAUCGAAAUUCGCCUCAAUUCAUUACUUCACAGAAUCAAACCCAAAAAGGGCAAAAAGAAGAAGCAAAUUUUGCAUCAUAAAUGUACAAAAUGUUGGAACCUGAGAGACUUUUAAAACAUUUUGAGUGCAAUCUCUCUUCUCUCAGUAAUCCCACGAUUUUUCCAGAGCCAAAACUAAGCACUAACGUUGUGUUUUGUACCUGAUAAAAAGCAGGGAAAUUUAAAAAAAAAAUAGAAAACAAGACACAAAACAAAAGAUUCAAUCUUAAGUUUUUCUUUUCAUUAAUACCUAAAAUAGAAACCGACCAUUUUCAAAUCUAUAAACAAUACUCACAAUUUCUCUGAAUAUCAAACAAAACAGCCGCACAUAUUUUCUCAGAGACCAAAUCAGAUGAAAAAUAUAACAAAAAUAACAACUAAUAUCUAUUCAAUUUUAAUAGAUCUGCAAGUAGAAUCCUAAGGGAACAAGAAGUAAAAUAUAAAAAAUAAAUAAAGAAGGUACCUGAUCCGAAAUGGAUAAAUUGUCAAGACCUUUGACUAGCUCUUCACCGUCGAUCUUGCUAACCGAAGAAGCCAUGAUGGUGAUGACGAUCAGAUAACAAAAAUUAUAACAAAAGGGGGAGUUUGAAUUCUGCUUGUUCUAUAAUAUAACUAGUAAUUUAAAAUUUAAAAGAAAUUUUUUGUACAGAAAAGAUAUGCUUCAGAAUUAUUCUGAUUCCAAUAGCGCGCAAAGGAAGAUCCUCUUGUUUUGGGGUAUCAAAGGCCCAAACAGUUUGGCUUGGAUGUGGUUGACAUAAAUACUUGGCUUUCAAUUUUUUUUUUUUUUUUGGACUUUUUUGAGACAAAAUAAUAUUUGUAUCCCUAUUGUUCUGUAAAAUCACACAAAGAAAAGAGAUAACUCACAUUAACUUAUCUCGUGCGAGUAUUUAUCGUUUUUUUUUAAAUAUUAAUGUAUUACAAUCAUAAUUCUAUUGAUAUUUAUAAUUAGAUAGCUAGAUAAAAUCUAAUUCAACUUACUAACUCAAUAUGAUAUCUAAUACAAAUAAUUAUAUUUUGGUGAUUAAAAUUUAAUAAAAUUAUUAAAUAGAUUAUGUCUAUACUAAUCUAAUUAAUAAUUAUAUAUGUUCAAAUUUAAAAUUUUUGGCACACGAUAACUCAUAUUAUUUAAUCCAUUAUAAUACAUUGACUCAUAUUUUAGUUAACAGGCAUGUGUUACACUUGUCAUAUGUUUGAAACUCAUUUGUUAUACAAUUGUCAAUGUUAGGUCAUCGUUUUAAUUAAUAGGUUGGUUGUUUUUGUUAUAUAAUUGGAAUGCAGGUACUCAUAUGUUAUUAUCCUUUUAUUUUUAUGUUUUUUUCUUUCUCCAAUUUAACGGGGUGAUGUACGAUAAGUUGACAGGUAGCCCUAAGAUGCCACGUGGGAUGUUAAAGUCUCAACACGUUUUGAGUUUUUUUAUUUAAUUAUUAUUAAUACUUUUACCAAUCAAAAGUGAUGGGCUCUUGAGGGUUCCAAGUAUAAUCUUAAGGUGAAAGGGUAAGAGUUCUGUCCUAUUCUAAAUUGGCGGUUCGAGGAUUGUUGAAAGACACUUGUCAUAUGACUAAACAGUAACACGCGGCUUAUGGGACUUUUCCCUUUCAUUAGUAUUUUCAGUGUUCGGUUUCAUCUAACUGAGCUUUCAAUAUUAGCCUUGGGCUUUAAUAGUAAUUUACUACACUUAUCAAUUUUUUAAACUUUGAAGUUUUUAUUGAAACUGUAAUUUCUUUAGGAUUAGGAUACUCUACUCAUCGGAGCACCAUGAGCUUUUAACAAUAUUAAUUCUUCACCUUAUAAUGAGGUUUUUUUCAGCUAUUAAUUUUGUGCUUUUGCUCAUAUAAAUGGAGUUUAUAUUCUAAACCUCUUUUAUCAUUUUCAAGAGAUAUUUUCGGUUGAACAGAUCAACAGCUACCAGGAAUAUUAUCAUUACAUAACAUCAUAUUAACAGCGGUAAUACUACACUUUUCUAAUAAUAUUUAAAAGAACUCAUUUCAUGUGGUAUUGUCAAGUAGAUGAUGAAAAUUUAUUAUUUAAUAAAUUAAUAUACAUCCCAUAAUUAAAAUGAAAUAUCUUGAAAUAUCAAUAAUUAAUAAUUAAUACUUCAACUUAAUCAAUGAAUAUCGGUUCACUUAGUGACCGGUUUCUCUUUGUUCUGCUUCAUUUUCCUCCUUAAUAAAAUUUUCGACGGACUCGUAUAAAGAAACGCCAUAUUUUUUUUUUCAUAUAAUAACAAGUGAGGUAUUUCUUAAAAAGACCUUUUUGCCCUUACACAAAUUUUAGAAGUGUAAAAAUCAACUACCAUCGAUGGACAAUGUAAAAAUCUUGACACUUUUGGUUUAUUUGAUUUUAUAGCAAAUAAAAAGGACUUGUAUAUUACAAUAAAUGUGUGUCUUGUAUUGCUUAUCUAAUAGAUAUAAAUGCUUAUUUGGUCACAUAAACUUUUUGAAAUUUUUUGUUGUUGUUUGGUUAUUUUUUUACUAGAGUUUUUAAAGAUUAUAUAAGUUAUUUUGACUGGACUAGUAAAAACUUAAAUUAAAAAGGACUUAUAUAAGUUAAAAAGCUUUUUCAAAUAAGACUUAUUUAAUUGAAGAUUUUACAAAUAGAGCUCUUACCUAAAAAAAUUUAGUUGUUUGGCCGUCACUGAUAAUUUUUUAUUAAAAAUUAUAAAAUUACUUUAAUAGGUACUUUUUUAAAGUUAUGAAAAAAUGAAAUAUAAUUGUCAAAUAAGUAAAGGAUAUUUUAAAUAUUUUAAUAUUAAAAAAAAAUUCAACAUUUACCUUCAAAAGUCCAAAAUUUGAGUUUUUACUAGUAUAUGUAAAACUAACUUACUUAAUUUUUAAAAGCUCUACUAAAAAAUAAUCCAAAAGCAACAAAAAUUGUUAUAAGAGCUAAUGAAAUUAAAUAAACACUUAUGACCAUUAGAUAUGCCAUACUAAACAGACACUUAAAAAUAUUCUUUAUUUAUUUAACAAGCUUUUUUAGAACGUUGAAAAGCUUUAAUAAUCUCAUUUCUUUAACAUAACUUUAAAAAAUUUGGCUAUUAAAGUAAUUUUAUAAUUUUUAAUAAAAACUCUCAUUGACAAGUAAAGAACUAACUAUUUUUUUUUUAAGUUCUAUAAAAGAAAACUCUAUUUAAAUAAUUUUAUUUGAAAAGUUAUAUCAAACAGAACCUAACCUUAAUUAAUAUUUUAAUCGAUUUACCUAGAAUACACUUCACCAAAUAAUUUUUGAAAGAUUUUAUUUAGAUUGAAGAUAUUUACACUCUAAAAACUAUUCCAAACACUUAUUUAUUUUGAACUCUCAUUCAUUAAAUUUAAAAAAUUAACUUUUUUCCCUCAUUAAAAUUCCAAACAUACCCUCAAUACUUUCUCUUUAUUUGUUAAUACAUUCAUGGCUCCAUAACGCACAAGGCAAUUCUGCAGUUUUGCUCUCUACUUGAAAUUGUAUGUAUAUUAUUUUUUUUUCCUGUAAAAUAAAAAAAAAAAAAAGCAUUUUUCUGUUUUUUCUUUUUACCCAGAAUCGAAAUAAAAAAUAAGCAACUUUAAUCUAGUAAAUUAUGAAGUUUUCCAUCAUUUAAUUGAUUUCAAUGCCUUUACAGAACACUAACCUAUCAUGGGAUUUAAUAAUUGAAUCACAUGUGUCUCUGUAAUGAGAAACAAAAUGCAAAAAUUUGAUUGAAUUUGAAAAACACUUGAUUAGUUUUUGAUAAUUGAACUUUUGGAAGUUAUGCGUUUGAUAUUGAGAAUUAAAAAUAGGAUUUAAAAUUCUCUAGUUUUACAAUAUUUCAUAAUUGACAUUUUUUAAUGUUAAAAUGUCUUCAAUAGUAAAUAACAUUAUGAUAUAUUUAUAACAUAAAAUUUUUUUAAAAAAAAUGAUAAAAAAUUGAUUUAGGUAACAUUUAUUUUUUAUUUAAAAGCCGGAAUAUUCAUCCUCCCACUAUUUAUUAAGAAAAAAACUAAAAAAAAAAUAAAAAUUCUAGUUGGUUUUAAAUUUAAACAAAACCCUUCGGCUCCACAGUCCUCCGGACUCUGCAAUCUUUUCGUAAGCUGCAGAACCAUUUUAAUGGAGCAGGACGCAGACCCAUCAAUUAAUCGUACCCAAACAACUGAAACGUCGUCGCCUGAGAACAUCGACGCGCUGCUAGAGGUUUCAUUCUUCACUCUCUCUGCUGGUUAUAUAACUUCACUUUUGAAAUUUACUUAAUCGUUUUGACUUUGACACUGACAGGCUGCUAGAUAUGAUGACAUUGAAGAUGUAAUAAGCUUAGCAUCUGCUGGUGUCCCUCUUGAUUCUAAAGAUUCUCAAGGCCGAACAGGUCAUCUUUAUUGUUGCCUCUUGUUUGUAUCGCUGCGAAUGUGUCUGUUGCUUCUUGGGUUGUUUCUAUUUUUUCAAAGCAUGAUUUCAUAGGUUUCAAGUUAGAAUAUGGAAUUUUGUUAUUUUGUUAUUCUGUUGUUAUGAAUGAAACCAUUCAAAAAUAGACAAAGCAGUUAUGUUUUCCAGGUGCAUUGUAUUGGUGAUUUUGUGGGUUGUUUCGGAAGAAAAGAUAGCGAGGGUUUUGUAUGAUUCUAUAACGAAAGAUGCAAAUAUUUUUGGACACCAUACGAGUUAUUAACUUCUCUUCCGGGCUUCCUUUGAGGAAGUUCAUGGUGCUUUAUUCUUUAUUCAUUUAAAUUGGGAAGCAGUUUGAAGGGGUUUAGGUUGAUUUUUUAUAUUUUUUUAUCGUCCUUGAUGCAGUUUCUUAAGGCUUUCUGAAACAGUUUGAUUCUUCAUCAUAGGCUAGAUAGAAUCAGUCCAUAUAAAAUCUUCAACAUAUUGGGGAUUUACCACAUUUUAAUCUGCUUUUGUGGAAUGCAUGUAUGAUUAUGUUCUGCCAAAUUUGGGGAAAAAAACAAAGGUUUAUGCCAUCCUUUUUAAUUUUUUAUGUUUUUUGUGGUUUCAUGUAUGUUGCACUUAAUUGUAUUGAUGUUUGUGUCCAGCCCUUCAUAUGGCUUCUGCUAAUGGACAUCUUGGCAUUGUGGAGUAUCUUAUCGGCAGAGGAGUGGUAAGCAAUCUUAACGAGUAUCAAUUGACUACUACCAUUCUCUUAUAUCACAAUCAAUCAUUGCUGUAACACAAGGUUCAUUUGUUGGUUUUCACUUAAGUAGCAUGUCCUGGAUCUUUCAUUAUCCUUUGUAGAAUAUCUUUCUGAUUGCUGGAUGUAUCAUAUCCUGAAUAGUGUGACCAUUCAAUUCCAUAUAGAAAAGAAAAUUUCUGGUGUUGGUUUGCUGUCAAGAUGGAAUUUUAUCUGAUUGGAACUAAAGAUAUAUGAUAAGAAAAGAAGGGAUUAUUCACUGUAGAAUUUCUUUCAUCAACGUGUAUGCAUAAAAAAGAUUUUAUUAUCUGAUUUGCAUCUCCCAUAUUGUAAAGAUAAUUACCGCUUGUGUUGCACGCCGCUAGUUAAACUUAGAUUUACUGCACCACUAGUGUAGUUCAACAACACUUUCUCACAAUUCAUUCACUAUUUGCUACUGUUUGUCUUUUUGAACAUCUGCUGGAACCUAAAAGAUCCUGCUUAGUUUAGUUUAGUGAGUAUUCUGUAGUAAAAUUUGUAAAAGAUAGUGAUGCCUUCUGCAUUGGUGCUUAAUUUUAGUAUUUAGAAUGCACCAAACUUCCAAUAAUGAGAGUGGAUUUGUUUUUGUUUCUGUUUCAUAAGUUAGCAUCUUCUAUAUCACCGCCUGUAUAGUGUAGGUUAAUAUACUCUAGUUACUAUUUAAUAUGCUUUAGUAUAGGUUGCCUAAUUAAAUAGGUUACCUAUGGUAACAUUUUACAUUGAUGUUUAACUUGGACAAUUUUUGUGUGCUUGAUUUUGAGCAAUCAGCAAUUCAUUUAUCUGCAGAUACCGUUGAAGGUGAAAUGGUAUUGUCAUCCUACUUAGGCUCUGUUUGGUGCAGUUUUUCAAAUAAAGUUUAUUCAAGUAGAGCAUUUAUCAAAAUUGUUUUAGUUGUUUGGAUGUCAAUGAAAGCUUUUUAUUAAAAAUUGUAGAAUUGCUUAAAAGUCAAGUUUUUAAAGUUAUUUUAUGAAAUGAAUGAAAUAAGAUUAGGAAAUAAAUAAAGGGUAUUUUAAACAAUUUAACUUUUUUUAAAUUGCUCAACAACCUCUCAAUAUACCACCAACAAUCAAAAUUUUGAAAAGAGCUUUAAGAGUAAAUAAGCACUUCUAGCCAACAGAUAAGCCAUACCAAGCAUGCACUUAGCUGAUCAUCCUCCUACUUAGAAGAAUAUGUUAUGUUUGACUAUCGAUGCUCCUCAUAUAUGUACCCUUUUAAGGAAGACAUUCCAAAAGAAGCUAAUGGUUUGAAUUUUGUUUAGAUAAAUUACUUACAUGUUAGUCCAGAAUAUUGGAUUAUUAUGUGUCCUCCCAGGUUGUUGAGGGAGAGGCUUUUAUAAGUGAUCAAGACCUAAAGAAAUAGAGUGGGCAUUGAAUAAAUCCAAACCCUGGCAGUGAUUGUUGCAUUUCCUUGUCAUUUUGAUGUGACAUUACUUGUGCAAUAUGUUCUCUUGAUGAACAACACAUGGAAUCGGUUUAAGUGAAUUACAUUAUGGAAGCUAGAUUGUCAGCAAAAAAGUAAUCCUUGAGUGUCGAAUGUAUGAUGAAAUUUGAAAUGUCCUGAAUACAUUCUAUUUAGGUAAAUACUACUAGUAACUGUAGAAUUCUUUUUCAAUUUUCUUUUAAAUAUUCCAAAAAUACAGACUAAACCCGUCCUGACCUUGAUGUGAGUAGGAUUUGAACCGCAAACCUCUUGUACUCUACAAGAGCUCUUACAAGUUGAACCAAAAAGCACCAUAAAUAGUAAUGGAAAUUCCUUUUAUAUUUCUCUCUUAAGAAUGAAACUGCCCUCCUAAUUGCUUUCUUGCUUGUUAUCACAUAUAUAUAUAUAUAUUCAAUAUAAGUCUUAGCCAUGAUGACAUAUAUGUUCAAGGUAAGUGCAUAGUGUUCAUAUUGUUGUCAAAUAUUCGAAUUUACCUUUCUUUUUAUUUCUUCCGAACAUUGGAUGAUGAGUCUUGUUUGGUUUUCUUUGCUUUUCACGUUUUGCCCUUUACAGCUUUACUUUGGUAUUCUGUAGCACAGUUUUGGAGAUUCUUUACUGCUUCUUUGUAUGGUUGUCAGCUUAACAUGUCUGUUUAAUCUGCGUUUCUCUUAAGUCUACCUAGGACAGAAGUGGACUAUAAAAUAUACUUUUAGUUUUUUGGUAAUCGAUGGCACUUUAAAUUUUUCACUAGAAAACUUUGUUUUCUGAUCUUGUACUCGAGCAGGAUAUCAAUGCUUCUAAUGAAGAGAAGAAUACACCUCUUCAUUACGCUUGCCUCAAUGGUCAUACUGAGGUAAUUACCGCAGUCCAUAUACACAUGAAUUUAUAAUUCAUUUUAUGAGCCCUUCAAUAGAUGAUGAUGGUCACAGGUGGCUAAGAAGUUGGUCCUGUCUGGAGCAAACAUAAGUGUUCUAAACAGGUAUCAUCUCUACCCAUGGCCUAGAGUUUCAUAUAUGUGUUUCUAAUGUUCACAACAUCUCCCCAUAUGUAAUUGAUUUUGUCUCUGUGUGAAUUUCAGCCAUGAGCAGACUCCAAUAGAUGAGGCUUUGAGUAGGGGAAAGAUGGACAUUAUUGAUGCGAUUAAUACAGCAGUUGCACAAUUGGAACUUGGUGGCUUCACGGUUUCUUAACUGUCUCUGAUCGGUGCUUUUCUUUCCUUCGCUCGCCUUUUUGUGUCAGUGUGAAAAUUUUGGUGAUUCUUUAGGUAAAUCCAGUAGUCUUGGUUCAAACUGUGUUAGUGUACUGAGAAUCAGUAACUGUGAGAGGUUGCUUCUCAGUUCUUGAAAUUAUAUAAUUGAAGCUUUAAAGUGUUGCUUUUGUCCUCUUCCCCCAGAAAGGAUCUCAAUUAUUUCUUGGCGCAAAUUAAAAUGGAGAAUGGAUCAAAUGGAUUCUCUUAGGCAAAGUACAAAAUGAUGUGAUAGUGUGAUUACUUUAAUGAUGUAAUUUGAUGUGAUUAAUAUUAUUUAAUUUUUUCAUUCCAUUAAAAUUUGUAACGUGAUAAUAAUAAUGUAAUAAUAAUGCACGAGAGAAGUAUGAUACCAGCACAAAAGAAACAGUUCCUUAAAAUGAUAAUUGUAUUAGAAGCGGGGAUCCCAUUUUGCAGUAGUGUUUCGAAAUGUAGCAAAACUCCAAUGUUGCCUUUGGAACGACAAUCGUUUGCUCUAAAAGAGUUACGAUGGAGUUAAAAAACUCUGUAAAAAAUUAUUUUAUACAAAUUAACGUGGCAUACGUUUUUUUUUUUGAAUAAAAAUUUAAAAUAAAAAAAAUAUGUAGGACAAAAGGUAUUUAAUCUAAUCAUGAAUUAUAUCACUUCUAUUGGUACAAAACAAAUUUGUAUGAGAGUUUAUAAUUUCUAUCAUUAACCAUUUAAUGGGUCGCAUAUUAUAUAUCACAUUAUUUAGGAUGAAAUUAAAAGUAAAAUGUUAGGACGUCUAUCAUUACUCAAACAAAUUUAUAGCUACAAAAGCAUAAGCAUUUACCUACAUCUGCGAAGAACUUGUUUGGCUGCAGAUUCCUUGUGCGAGUAAAUUAUAAACAUAUGAAAAAAAAUGAUACUAAAGAAUAUAGAAAUCCUUGGUCCUUUUACUCUUACGGCAGUACUGGAAUAAUAUCUGUUUCGGAACAUACUGGAAAAAUAUCUUGAAACACCACCAAAAUCAAAAUCUCUGGAUCAAUUAUAACUGAAUUAAGAAUAUAAAACUAAAAUAGAAAAAAGUAUUGGAGAUUGAGGCAUGAGUUAGGUGGCAAAGUACAAAAUUAAGCCCCAUCCCAUUAUGAAUUUAGGGAAUAUUUCUUCUCAUUACUCUAUCGUAAUCCCUGAAAAUCCAUCUUAAUUUCAUCACAUUUGGAGCAGGUGCCCUAAGGUUUUGAACUUACAGUACAUUUGCAAUUCCUAUUUACUAUUAUAACAUUAUUUUCAGUGUAAUAUGAUUUAUAUGUGAAAAAAAAAAAAAAAAAGAGUUAUGUAUGUUCAAAAAAAUUUCACACAACCCAUCCCUAAACACACACACACACACAUAUAUAUAUAUAUAUAUAUGUUUUUUACUUGUGUGUAUCUUAUUACAUGUCGUUUUUAUCAAGAAAUCAUGAAUCCUUUUCAUGAUUACACUAUUUUCUUCACUUUAAUCUCUACCCAAUAACAACCAUAACUCAAAUGAGCCGAUAAAGGAAAAACUUUUUCAUGCAUAAAUAAUACCAAUAUUUUAUGCUUUCGAUCUUGCUAUCGUUACACAUGCUGCCCCCUAUUAUGUGUUUUUUCCUUGCCCCUAUUUAUCUAUAAACAUUUAAAAAUCUUUAUAUUCUCAUGUUCCCUAAAAUAAGAGUCACAUUAUAUUUACUCAAUUGGGAUACAUAGUUUGUAUCUCAACUAAUAUGUUACAAAUAAAAUUUUAUAAUUUAAAUUAGACACUUAAUAAUUAAAUAUCACUUGAGUUAAUUAAAUGAUGACAUAUCAUUCGUCACAUCAUUCGAAAUGCAAGUAUCUUAAUGAAGUAAGCACAACCUUAGUGUUAAAAUAAAAAGAUGCUGGAAAUUAAUUUAGCCCAAUCUAUUGUAAAAUCCUUGUCCUGCCCUUACUUUCCCUUAGAAACCUACAUAAAAUAGCAAUAUUUUAUGCAUUUUGUCGAGAAAAAUACUAACUAAUUUGGAAGACCAAUGGUUACCCAUUUACUUGGCCAAUAACAAUGCUAUUUAGAUAGAAAUAUUUGAUAGAACGCUGAUAAAUAUCUGAACUCGAUUUUCAAUGUUAUUCGAAAUCAAUUGAAGCAAUAAACUGACUUAGACUUCGGCUUCUUUAGCAUUUUUCUAAAAGAAUUCACUUUGAAUUAUUGAUGACCUAUUUUGAAUGUUAAAUAAAAAAUUCAAAAGAUUAAAAUCUCUUGCACAAGAUUUUGCCAAAAAAGCCAAAGAAAAUGCUCAUAAAAGGGCUAUAUAAUAAAUGAACCAUUUGAGGAAACUGAUUUGAAACAGCCAAACUGUCAUGAAACUGAUUUUUUUUUUUCUUUUUUUCUUUUUUGAAAGGAGUUACUUGUGUUAAGAUUUGUUAAAAAGGGAAUGAUUUUUUUUAAUAAUUUUUUGGAUGUACAGCGGGCGAGAUUAUAUUUUGUAUUUCCUUGUACAAAUUUAUGAACGAAGAUUAUAUGCUGUCUAGUGUCGAUAAUUAUUCAUUCCUUAGAAUUGAUCGGCCAUAACAAAACUUUCCAGCAAACUUCAACAAAUUACUAAAAUGUAUAUUUAAUGAUUUAGCACACACAUAAACUAUGAAUUGAUGGACCAUAAACGACCAUGCAUGAUUCAGCAACCCACCAAGAUAUUAACUAUGAGCAGAAUCUACAGAUAAAUCCAUGAAUUGUGUCUACAAAGGAAUAUUAUUCAUAUUAAUUCUACGUAGAAACAAUAAUCAACUACAAGAUUUUGCCAUGCACUGAUACAAGUACUUAGAAGCUACUAUCCAUGUCGAGUAACAAUAGAAAAAUAGAAAAUGAUGACACAUUUCAAUGCGUGAAUGGAAUGAAGCACAAAUAUUUUGAACUUUACAUAAUGCUAUAAUUAUCCAUGAAGGGAGACAAACAUAAAGUCAUAACAUUGUAUUGAUCUCUCAGAUUCUUCGGAUGAUCACAAAGGAAAUACAAGAAACAUAAUGUUCACUCAUAUCAUGAAGGAAAAGCAACAGAAUACAUGAUAUUCACUCAUGCACUUAAGAGUAGGUAGUGACCUACCGUGCAAAAUUUUAUAUGAGCUAGUUAUGCAAGCUAAGUACAUAAAUGAAUAGAUGUUUUGAAGUAUUAAUUCACAAAAUAAUUGACAAAAAUCAAACUGGUCAUGCAGAACUAACAAGAGAAAACAUGCAACAUCAUACCAGACAUUACUUCUCCUGCAAGAAAUAUACUUUAUGGGCAUAGACCAAAACCAAGUUAGACCGAUGAAGAUAUUUCUCAUUCACAAGAUGAACCUUCAUUUGCAUAGAAGUUGUUUCUAUGAGAAAUUAUCCAACCGCAUUGACGUCUACUCAAGAACAAAAAACAAGGUGCCAUCUAUCAGUUAUGCAAAGUCCAAAAUCAAAUUUAAACGCACAAAUUCACGAGUUACAUGCUUGACCGAAAGCAUUUUCAACAAAAACUACAUAAAAGGUAAUACUCAAAUCCAUUCAUAGGAAUUUAAACAACUUAAUUCAAAUUUCUGAUUGUGUAAGCAUUUUUCCUUCAAGUUUUGUCUAUCAUCAAUGCACCUAGAUUUGCAAUUUGGUAUUUCAUUGGCACAUUUAUUGGUUGAUGAUCAUGCAGAGACAAUCAAAUGAAUCAGUAAGACCAUGCAUUAAAUAAUAAUGCUACUAAGUGUACCAUUUCAUCAAUAAAAGAAAUUCAAAUUAUGCCUCUUCAAAUUUAAGUCGUUUAAAAAUAGAAAAAGAAUAUGAGAAAUUAUCAUUAAAAACUACUUCAAAUUCGGAGAUACUGAUGUAAAGGAAAUUCUUUUGAAUAUCAAUCAGUAUUUAAGUACCUGAUGUUUAAAAAUAUGUUGGAAAUAGUAAUAAGACGAAAUCUUUUAGCAAAAUGAUUUCUACUAAAGAAAAAUCAUUUCAAAAAAUACUCUUAUGUUGCAUCUUCCAAUCAAUCAAAACUAAUAUAAUUGAAAUGAAAAACCAAAAAUCCUGAACACCAAGUGGGUAUGCGUGUUUCUGACCAAAUGUAAAUCGUUAAUCCACACAAUGUUGCAAUGCAUUGGAAACACAUACCAAGAAAGAGAAAAAAUAAUACCUCUGAAUCAGACCAAAGUGCAUCAUUCUUCAGCUCAUUCAGUCUUCCUCAUCUAGACAUAAGUAGAACAUGAUGCAUAGGAAACUAUUACCAACAUGAAAUUUGACAGCAACCUAAUGGAGUGAUAAUGUUUUUCCUUCUCAGAAAACAAUCAUUUUCUAUAAUAAAAAGAAAAGAUAUGUUCAUCAUCCAAUAUAUCAUCAGUUCUUGUGCAUAUAUAUGCCGAAAACUUAACCCAAACAUUUCAUUUUACAUGUCUUAUGAAAUUAAAAAAAGAGAAUAAGGGUGGAUGCAAGCAAUAUAUAUUGGAAGGGCAUAAUUAUUAAAGCAAGUUAAACACAAUGCCACAAUCAACGAUUAGACACUGUAUUCCACCACAUUAAUUAGUUUAAAUUAAAUUAGUCAAGCAGCAUGUCAAAUCUGAUUAACUUUAUGAGAGAAUGAUAAUGCAAUUCACAUGAAAAAUCAAUGGAUGCAUAUAAAAUAUAAGCAGACAUAGAAAGGGGGACAAUAAGUCGGUGGGCGGAAAGCUAAAAGGGGGCAAGCAAGCAUUAAACUUACAUACAUUGCAUUAUUUAAUCCAGAUUAGUCAACAUUUGUGCAAAAAAUCAUAGCCAAAGGGAUAAGUCACAUAGAUAUGCAGCAUCUCAAAGAAUAAAGUAUGAUUGGAAGCCAAAUGAACAUUCAGACAGCAAUAUUCCGAACAAAUGCAAAUGGCAGAAAUAGUUAGAUUAAUUAAUAAUAGUGACAAAACCGACAUGAUAAUAGAAUAAUGCAGAAAAGAAAACCCAUAAUUUGCAUGAUUGGCAAUUGCUGGCUAAGUAAGUGAUGAGAGGAAACACAAGCAACCAUAUCUACCUAAGACGAAUGCAGAAGGAUUUGUAUUAAAUGGUUCUAUUCAUUAAAACUUUUGAGAAGUACAGAACCAGUGAAUUUGAAAAAGCAGUGUCGGGCAACGGGUCCAGAAUUCAGAAUUAAUGUUUACAAGAAUCUAUGCAGAGACCUGCAGAUUAAAAGUUUUAUGUAAUAUUAUUAUAUAAAGUUGGAGAUAUAGGAAGUGUAAUAUUAAGACGAAGGUUAGAAACAUUUCCCAUAGAAGAAUAACAGAAGAAGCAAGUACAUAAUGCAUUCAUGAAUGCAUGCAUAAGCAGGCUCUUGUCCAAAUUGCAGAAAUGUAACAAGAAGUUAAGUGGGUCUAAAAAAGAUUUCCAAGAAAUGCUCUUCCAUGUUUGGCAACAUAUGAUAGUGACACAACAACUACUACUCAUGCUAAAGUCUAAAGAAGCAAAAUAAUGAUGAAUAGCACAUUUACUUCGAGUUCAUUAUGAACCAAAGUAACCAAACUAAACCAAGAGGACAGAAAACCGGUGAAAUAUUUUACUAGACCCCCGACCAUGAAAUAUAUGAUUGGAAUCUAAAAAGGAAAAUAGAAAACCAUUAAAAAAAAUGGUUUCAGAAAAAUAUUAGAGGAAAUAAACUACUUAUUAUUUUUUAAAUUAUUGUGAAACAGUACUGCAUAUACAACAAGCAAGACAAAUCCCUAUGCGGCUAAAGCCUAAAGAUAAGGUCUACACCAAAAUGUCACUUGAUAUAUGAUAAGUGAUCAUACUUUACACUGUAGAUUUCAGCUUUGUCAAACAUAACUCUGAUGAACAGAAAGAAGAAGAAUUAAAAAAAAAAGAAAAAGGCAACAACUUCAAGAAAGAAAAACUUCCUGAGAUGUAUUAUCUAUCUAUCUAUUGGCACAGGAAUUCUUCACCUUUAUUCUCCAAAUGUAAUUAUUAUUUGAUACAAAACAUUCGUAAGUACUUUAGUAGUGAGAAAAUGUAGCUUGAUUGAUAAAUGCCUGAUCAUAUCUCAGUGAAAUGGGAAGAAAGCCAGAAACCAAGUAGUUGAAAUAUUAAAUGAGAGAGACAUAUGUUAAUAAGACAAAAGUCUUGAAGAACAAUUAACCAAAACCCUAUUAAUUAUAAUGAGUAGACUACAAAUUUAUGAUCAUUUUUUUCCAACAUAAUGACAAUAUUCACUACCUCAAGUCUCAAUUUAUUGGAUUGCCAUAGGUUGAACCUCCAAGGAAACCACCAGCUGAGGCGGCGUAAACAUCGGAAGGAUCAAGAAUAUUUGGAGAAGAUGAACAAGCCGCGUUUUUUCCACCAUUACCACUGCCACCGGCGCCACUACUACUGGCACCACCUCCUAAAUGUAAUUCAGCCAUAUUGGGAAACCCUUCUCUUGUUUGAUGAUGAUGAUCAUCAACUCCUUGAUCAUACAAAAACCCUUUAAACACAUGGCCACCAAUCUUCACCACAGCUUGGUAUGCAUACUCAUCUUCACCAUUAUCCUCCACUGCCGUUACCCUAACACACUUGAAAACUGCCGGUGCACGUAUUUGUCCCGGCAACGAUUCUUUGAAACUUGCAUCUACAUACACACCCCAAAAAUAAAAAGGAAAAAAAAAUUCAACAAAACCCUAAACAAGAAAACAAACAAAAACGUAAUAAGAAAAUUAACUAAUGAUAAUGAAAAUUUGAACGAACAAAUUAUUAACCUUGAUGACUAGAAGUGGUGUCAAAGCUUCUUGGCGGGGUGGUGUUAGAAGUUGAGGUGUGAGAAGUGGUCUGUGAAGAUAUGAGCCUAGGUUUCUUGAUCCCAGAGGUAGACCCAGAAGAGCCAGCAGCGCCGGGGCCGAUGGUGGCAGCAGCCGCCGCCAUGAGCUGACGCUCUCGACGCCUUGACGCCGGCACCCACGUGCUCUUAACGUGCGUGGAACAUUCAAAACCCCGGCUCUUACAGCAUGUUCUACACCUCCUAUGGCUGCAGUCUUUCUUGGCUUGGUUCCCACAAUCUUGACACGUGGUCGCGGAAGAACAGCCGGCGAUAUUAUUACUAUUAUUAUUACCACCACCACUAGCAGCAGCAACAGUAACGGCGCCGCUUGGUAUGAAAUUGUUAUGAUGUUCAAGAAAAGUAGACGAUGAUGAAGCUGCUGCUGGCUUCUUGAAGUACUGGUGGUGAGAGUUUUGAUUCUGUUGCCAAAACUGAAUUUGACUGACUUUGUUGUUGUUACGGCUGUUAAAGUUAUUCAACAAAUCUUGAUCCGCAGCGAGUAGAGGAAUAACGCCGACGCCGAGAGCAGUGGCGGCGGCAGCAUUUUGGGCGGCCAUGGGAUCGGAAGAAUUAACAUUUAUAGACGACUCGUGAUUAUGAAGGUGAUGGUGAAGAUGAUGGUGAUGGUGAUUGAAGGAGGAAGCUGGGGCUACAACAAACAUGCCCAUUUCAGGAGAGAGGCCAUAGUUGAUGGGGCCGCGAGAGGAAGAGUGUUGUCCGGCGGCGGAGGGGGGCCAGGAGGUGGGUCCGGCGGAGGGGGUGGGCGCGGAGGCGGGCCCGGCAUUGAAGCCGAGGGAGAGGUCGUCAGGGACAGCAGCACGUAUUGCUGAAGAGGAGGAAGAAGAAGCAGCCCAGUCAGCAAAAGCUCCAGAAUCAGAAGCCAAUUGGCGCCUUGUAGUAGCCACAACUGAUUUGCCUUAUAACAGAAUUUGUAUGUCUUGUAUAUAUAAAAUAUACACACACACAUAAAAUUGGGUAAUAAAGAAAUUCUUUAAAAAAAAAGAAAGAAAGAAAGAAAGAAAGAAAGAAAGGGAAGUUUUGAUGGAUAGAGAAAGAUGAUAGAAACCAAAUCUAAGGAUUUUAGAUUUAUCUGUAAAAACUUUUCUUGUAAGUGAGUGAGUGAGUGGGGUCUAAUUUCACAGAAUAAUUAUAAAAAAAAAAAGAAAGAGAUUUAUAAUAUCAUUUGCUUCUGCUUCUGCAAUUGCAGUUUCAGAAAUCUGCUGCUGCUGCUGCUGCUGCUGCUGCUGGGUUUUUCUGUUGGCAGCUGCAGCUGCUACUCCUACUACUACCAACUACUGUCUCUUUGGCUUUUCUAAAGAGGAAAAAAAGUUGGGAUUGAGAGAGAGAGAGCGCAAAAAAAGGCUAAAAACAAAUGGCAAUAACAAACUCUAUGGCAAUUAGCCACCCUUUUCAUUACAAAACCUUCAUGGGUGUUUUUUUUUUUUUCAAUUCCCUUGUGAAUUUUUUUUUGGUUUUUGCUUUGCGCUGUUUCUCACUCCAAUAAUCACACAGAGAGAAGAAGAGGAGAAGAAGGUAUAAUAAAGACUUUUUGUUGUUUAGUUUUUGUUAUUAUUAUUAUGGGUUCCCUCAAAAAGAUCACAUGACACAACACUGCACUACACUACACUACACACCUCUUAUUCACUCACUCACUCAACUUUGAGCCUCACUUUCUCUCCGCUUCUCCUCCACUAUCAAAUUGCCUACUUCGCUCUUCCUCUUACUCCCUUUUACUCUCCCUUUCAGCGCGUGUGUUUCACGUCGGGACGGAGUGCGCCCGAGACCCUACUCGCUCGAGCGUGUGCUUCACUCCCUAAUUAAUUACAACUUUUGGGGGAAAGAAAAAUUAAAAAUUAUCUUCAUAUAUUUUUAUUUUCCAUGUGUUCAAAAAAUUAAUUGAAUAGAAUAGGGACUUCAAGUAUCAUCUGUUCUGUUGCGUCGUAUAGAUUGUAUUUGUUUGUCAUUUGUCAGCCAAAUUGGGGUAUCUAAGAAAAGAUUGUCCAAAAAUUGUCGUUUAAUAUUACGUAUUGCGUGUGUAUGUACAAAUGAGAUUAUUGAAUAAUACCAAUGAAAGUAUUGCGUUGUCACAUAAACUUGGUCAUUGGUGUUGUUUUCAAAAUAUUUUAUUAAAUUAAUCAUUGGAGUUUAAAUUUUAAUGGGUAGAAUCAUAGGCGACUAAAAAAUUAAUAUGAGCUUCACUCGCCCACAUAAAAAAAAAAAACCUAAAACUUGAGCCGAUUAUUAGGAAUCAAGAUUAUUUCAUAAAAAAUUAAAUUAUUUAAAAUCCAAAAAUGACCCACAUUAAUGUGGCUGCAUGAAUAAUCUGCAAUUGUGGAUGAAGUACAUACUCUCUCCAACAAUCAUGGGAUGGGAGAGAAUAGAUACAUGUGUUACAUAUCUUACCAUAUAAAAGUCUAAAAUGCACCACAAUAGAAUGGUUUAAGUUGGUCCCCAUAGACCCACUGACACUGAGGAUAUAAAUAUGAGUAGACUUGUGAUUCUAAUAAUAAUUCUAAUUUUUCAAAAUAUAAAAUAAAAAUGUGUUUUCUUCAAGUGUUCUUAAUCUUCUCCACGUGGCUAGUAAAAAAAAAUAAUUAAAAAAAAAAACACACAACAGCAACAACAUGAAUUCAUGUGUUUGGUUUCAAAUGACAAAUUUAUACUCUGCUGGAGGAAGAAGGUACAGUGAACAAAACGGUUAGGUGAAAUUUUUAUUUUUAUUAUUUAUUUAUUUAUUGUUUUGGGUAUACGAAAUACGUUAAAUAAAAAAAAAUAAAAAAUUGAAUGUUAGGGCACGUGAAGGAGAGAAAAGAAAAGCACUUUCGUUCUUUUUCAUUUUAUUAUUAUUAUUAUUUUUCUUUCUUUCUUUCUUUCUUUAUUUGUAGCUUUGCCAUAAGCCACCCUUUGGCAUGCCCUUUGGGGCCACGAAUCUCUUUCGGUUCACAAUUUUAAGUUUUUAGCUUCCCUCGAGGUUCAUUCAAUUCUUCACCCAAAAGAAAUCUUCAUAUAAGCAAGCGUGUGUUAAAAAGUCUCACCAUCGAACCGCUUUUUCUCCCUCGAGUAAUCCUAAAGAGCGUUGAUACUUAUAUGUGGGUUAGAAAAAGCACUUAUUUUAAGCCCCACAAUAAGUGCUUUUUUUUUUUAAUUUGAUAUGUAAAUAACUUACUUCAUUCAUUUGAACCGGGGCUAAAAGUGAAGUUAGGUUAGUCUAUUCAUUUUGGCUAGGAAGUAUUAUUGCACCCAUGAGAGAGGAAUCAUUUUCUCAACCUUUUUCCCAAAAAGAAAAGAAAAGAGAAGAAAAGAAAAUUAAAUAAAAGAGAGGAUCAUUUGGGGUGCUGGUUCUGGUUCUAUUCUUAUUGAGAGACAAAGCUUCAUAAUUACAAUUAUUAUAAGGUUUAUGCAUGCAAAUAUAAAAUAGAUGCUUUCAUAUAUAUAUAUAUAUAUAUAUAUAUAUAUAUAUAUAUAUAUAUAUAUAUAUAUAUAUAUAUAUAUAUAUAUAUAUAUAUAUAUAUAUAUAUAUAUAUAUAUAUAUAUAUAUAUAUAUAUAUAUAUAUAUAUAUAUAUAUAUAUAUAUAUAUAUAUAUAUAUAUAUAUAUAUAUAUAUAUAUAUAUAUAUAUAUAUAAUGUAAAUGAUCCUCAAAACGAACCCUCAUGUAGUUUAUAUGAAAUAAAAUAUGAUACACAAUGAUUUAUCAUUGAAUUAGCAUGAUCCACAAUGAUCCCAAGAAGGACAGCUCUUAAUUUAAAGAUAGGAAGGGACAAGGUUCAAGGUCACUUAAAACUAAGAAUCAAAAAUUAAAAAAAAAUUGUAUUAUGAUGAAUUUUGACGAAAUUUUUAUUUGGGUCGUUAUCAUUUCAUUGUUUCAACUAUGAUGAAAUAAUAAAUUACGACUAUAAGUAUUAGAAUAUAACAUUUUACUACCUUAACUAUCAACAAAUAUUACUUUAAUUAAGCAUAGGAAUUUUUUAAAAGAGUGUGAGACAUAAUAAUUUUUAAGGAGUGGAGUUAACAAAAGUGAAACAAUUGUCUUUUAUUAUUAGCUUGACUCUUAAGCAGAACCGUGAUCUUGAUUCAACGGGUCCCAUGAUAGAGAAACCAAAAACUUAAGGAGGGUAUAAUAUAAAAAUUUAAAUAAUAUAUGGAGCGAUUGAAACAUAAAUUUUAUAAUUUUUUAUUUAUUUAAUAUAGUAGUGAGAUUCGAACUCAUAACUUGAGUUCUAGGAAGGCCGCUUGUACUGCUUAAUUUAAUCUUGACCAUUAUAACACUCUAGGAGAAUCUGAAACGUCCAACCCAGACCCAAAGGACUUGCGGACCAAGGUAAGUUAGUGGUCUCGCUCAACUUGAUCAUCUGUCAUGACCCAACCUAGAGCUCGCAAGAUACUGUCCACUUUGGGUCUUAAUAAGGCAUGCGCGACUUUGUUUUAAGGGCACUCAUACACUCCAAAAUAUGUCUUUCCAAUUUAGGUAUGAAUCACCCCUUAUAAACUUAGCAUAUCUCCCAAGUUUUGUCGAUGUGAGAUUUGCAUAGGGUGUUACAUACACCUCCUUUAGGGACUCAGCGUUCUCGCUGAGGUUUGCCGUAUCAUUGCUCGAAAGGACACGCGGAGCCGCUUUGAUACAUUUGUCAUGACUCAACCUAAACCUGACAAAAUAUUAGUUGCUUUAGGCCUUAACAAGUCCUGCACGGUUUUGUUUUUAGAGUGCUCAUACACCUUAAAAUACGUCUUGCUAAUUCUAGUGUAAAUCACCCCUUAUAAACUCAACAUCUCUCAUAUGCUUUGACGAUGUAUGAUUUGCUUAAGGUGUUAUAACCACAAUAAAAUUUACUUUUAAGUUGGUUAAAUUUCAAUUACAACUCAAGUCCAACUUUCUAUUGAGUGUUUUUAUCUUAUGGGGUCAUUGGCCUUAGCCUCAACAUUGUUCCAUUCCUAAUCUAAUAGUUAUCAUCUGUCCAAUUCGGCCUUACUAAAUUGGAGGUUGACAUCUUUCAAAUACUACUGGGAGUAGAUUUCUUCCUCUACAAAAAUACACACAUUGCUACCAAGUAUAGAACAUAGAUUAACGUAGCAUUUUUUUUUUAAAAUCUGAAUUAGUCUGAAUUAUGAAUAAAUCUGAAUAUCUAAAUCUAAAUAACUUUUUUUUUGUCUGAAUCUUUUAAAAUAAAUAUCUAAGUUGGUUGGUUUUUUUUUUAACUUAAAAAAUCUGAAAUUAAGUAAUUUUACAUUCGUGCCUUGCAUAAUUUUAAUGUUAAAAAAUAAUAAACACCUAAAAGAACAUAAAUAAUCUAUUAUUUUAUUAUAACAAACAUCAUGUUCAAAUAAAUACAACUCUUUAAUAUUCUAAACUAGAAUGUGCUAAUCAAUUUUAUUGUAGCUUAUGAUGUUUUAUAUGAAAAAUAUUCAUAAAAUUUUAAAAAGAUAAAUAGCGUUAAUUUGAAUAAAAGAAAAAGAUAAAAAUAAAAAUAAUCUAUAUUAUCACAAGUUAUAGAAAUGAAUGAUAUUUCUCAUUCGUAAGUUCAAUUAAGGUAAAGAUGAAAAUAAAUUAAUUCGAAUGAGAUAUUUUGGAGAAAUGUGUAAUGAUGUCAUUUAGACUUUUUAGAUUAAGUAAAAAGCUAAAAAAAAAAGCUUAAUAGCUUAAUGACUAAAUGAUUGAAAACUUUCAUUAAGUUAAAAACAUAAACAUACUUAAUGAUUUAAUGAAUUAAAAUUAAAUCAAUUAAGUCAUUAAGUUAGAAAAACAAAUGAUCCCUCAGUUGCAAAUGAGCUUAAUUGAAAUUGACCAAGCUAUAAAUGAUUUUAAGUUAAACAAGAUCGAUACAUUUGUUAUGAAGAAUUGCCAACACUCAAAACUUAACUAGAUGUUCCUUGUCAUGUUUUUGUGCUUCAAUUAAUUAAAUAUUGCUGGAUUACUUACUACCUAACUUGAUUUCUUUUACGGCGUAUUGAAUAGAGUUAUGCUUUUUGUAUUUUGAAUAUUAUACAAAAUCAUUCUUAAGAGGAAAAGAGACUAACAAGACUCCUAAAAUUUUAUACAAAAUCAACUCUUUUUUAUUAUUUUGUUAAAGAUUGGUGAAUAGGAAAGUUUAAAUGAAUACCUUAAUCUGUAUCUCUUUUAAAUUUUGAAUUCAAGUAAUCAACUAAAUAAAACUUUUUGAAAAUUAGUUAAGUGAAACACCUCUUAUUGCCAGGACUCAUAGGCCUUCUGCCUGGAGAAACUAAUAAAGGUUAAAGAGUCAACAUGUGCAGUGUACGUGUAUGCGGACUUUGAAUAAUAUUAGGGUUUGUACGCCUAGCUAGCCUAGGAUAUGAAGAAGCAUUUAGAUAAGUCGUUUUCGAGGUUACUUAGGCUUUUGAAGCAUCAUCAUCAAAAUCCCAUCUCAGCCAAAAGGGAUCAACUUUUCAACCGACCUUUAUCUCCUUUGUUUGAAGGCGAUUCAAGUUGAAAAUCCCCAUACCCAUUGGUUGGAAAGUUUCUCAGCCUAUAUCUCAUGGCUCAUCUCUAGCAAGAUUUGGAUUUUUUCUCCCCGUAAGGCUUGCACAAUCACCAUAUGCACAAAAUCAUGAUUUAGAUACUGAUCAACAUGUCUAGUCAUAAUAAUCUUUUUAUGCUCUUGAUGUCAUCAAUUGUCAAAUCAUGAUACUUAAGCAAGCUUAAUUAACGUAAUUAUUGAGCUCAAAAUAAUAUAUCAUGUGGCAAAACAUGUCUAAUGUCAACAAAUCUACACGUUUAAUUACCCAAAAAGUACGCGGCAAAUUGUUAAUUAUUUCAUAACUUCAUAUCUAAUCUAUCAAUAACUACAAACAAUAGCUGCCCUAGCCCGGUAGUCCUCACGUCAACAAUCAAAUAUGAGAGCUUUUCAGUUCAAUGUUCUUGUGAACAGUACCUUAAAACAGAUUGCAUUAUUGUAGGAAAAUCUCUAUAAAUUAAUAGUUUACGGACCAUGAAAAAUCUAUUAAUUUAAAACGGUAUUAAUUCAUUGCAAAAAAAUGUAUUAAUUAAUUGAUAACUAAAUAAUUUAUUAAUUUAUAGAGUGUAUAUCCAAUUCAAUGAACAUACAUUUUAGUCAACUAAAAGUUUAUUACAUUUACCAAUCUAAUCAAUUAAAAAUGAAUUAAUCCACUAAAUAUAAAUUAAAUCAAUGAAAAAAAUUCAGAAUUCUUGCAAUUUCAGGAUUCAGCGGAGAAACUUCAAGAAACAAUAAGUAAAAAUUAGAGAUGAGAUCCAACUAUAUUAAAUUUCAAGAGAAAAAAGUAACAAUAAAAUCAUAUUUUAUGUAAUAAAAUAUCAUAGCAAUAAUAGUUGUAAUUUUAAUAUAUUAUUAAUUUAUGAUAUGAAUGGGUUCACAAAAUUGUACAAGGAUUUUCAGAAAAAUAUUACCUUGUUAAUUUCUCAAACUUAUGAAUUUAGCUCUUUAGCCCAAGUCGGGACUACAAAAAAUUAUUACAUAAUAAAGAUUAUUAAUUUACCGAGUAUUAAAUUAUAAAGGUUACAAUACUAUUAUUGAGGCGCGUGAGUAAAUUUUUUUCUCCCUCAUUUAGGAGUUGGUUUCUUCAUAAUUUUGGUAUUAUUAAAAAUUAUCCAUAAUAACAAUAAUAAUUCAAUUAUAUAUCCCUAUCUUGUAGUAAAAAUCAAGAAAAUUUCAUCAACGGGAACCUUAUGGUGGGAUAAAAUUAUGAUGGCGAUUAAAUAAACUCAUACAAUGAGAUUGAGGACUUUUUAAAUUACAUGCAAUGUAACUUAUAAUCAAAAAUAGUACGUGAACCCACAUUAUACUAUUUAUGAUUGUGGUUGGAACUCACAUUAACUUAGAAGUUUGCCAGACUUUGAAUGCAACAAAAGGGCGCCGGCUUGGGUAUCAUCACAGCGGUCUGCGGGGCUUCACCGUCAUUCAUACGUAUCCCAUGCAGUCACAUCAAAACGUUAUGCCCAAAACGUCAACAACGAAUAUCAAGUCACCGAUUCGAUGCCCUCUGUUCAUCAUUGACCAUCAAACAGUUCCCCCCAUUCCAUCGAUCAGGAAUAAUUAUCACCUUCCCUCCUCAAUCUCAACCAACUUAGUUAAUAAAAUUAUUAUUAAUUCAUCGAGAUUUGCGAAAACACACUCGCACGUACACAUUCUUUUGAGUCUUCUUGACUUUGUCUAUCAGUUUCAGGUACGUAUGAGUUUAUUCGGAGGCUGCUUUUGCCUCCAGUCCAUUGCUAGCCUUAGCCUAGCUGCUGCUUCGCUGGCAUUUCGCCAGAUAAUUAAAUUAAAUUAAUAAACUAAUAUAAAAUUUUCAAUCAAUUGGUCAAAUAAUUCUUGCUUGAAUUGCACUCUUUUUUUUUAUUUUUUUAAUUUGGUGGUUCUUCCAUCAAUGCAGCGUUGAAAAAAAAGUUGUUUAAUACCGAAAAUCAGGAAGAAAUUUGAAAAAAAUGAAACAAAGAGGAUUGAGAUUGCGGGCGCCGGAUGUAUUAGAAGCUCAGCAUUAAUUCCGCAGAAAGGGAAAAUUCUCCUUCCUCUCUCCUUGUAAAAUGCAUCUUUUAUCUAAUUUAGAGAAUGCUAUUGAUUUAAAAAAAAAAAACUACCUGCCAAGAUUUUUAAUCCGACAAUUAUGGAGAUUUUACAUUUUAAAAUUAAUUUUAUUAACUUAUAUUAAAUCAGAUAUUUGCAAAUUACUAUUAUUAAAGACAUCUAUUGAUUGACAACUACCUGAAAUUAUUAGCUUAUAUUAAAUUCUCAUAAAACACUAUAGAUUGUAUAUACUCGUUAAUAUUUGAUAAAUGUCUUUUUGACUCACAAAUUUUUUGUAAAAGAUCAAAAAAUGCAAUGACCUCUACUCAAUUAUUCUUGAUUGAAGGAGAAAGUUGAGUCCAUUAAAACUUACAUAGACUUAAAUUUUAAUUUCAAAUAAGAAGUCGUUUAGAUUUUGAACAAUAAUAUAAUCACAAACUCUUGUAUGAAUUUAUUUUGUACAAAUUGACGUGGUAUUAAUUCAUUAGUUGAAUUAAAUAUCUCUUGGUCCACAUGAUUUAUUUCUAUUUUUUUAUAUUUUCAUUCAAUCAAUGAAUUAAUGUCACAUCAAUUUGUGUAAGAUAAGUUUAUACAAGAGUUUGUGGUUGUAUCAUCACUCUUAGAUUUUACAUACCUAUCUUUUCGUUGAGAUUUUCACUCAAAUUUUUUAGCAUUAAUUUUUUAGCAACGGAGUUAAAUUGAAUUGAGCGGCAAAGAGUAAGCGAUCAGUUACAACAUUUAAAUGUCACUUGUUAGUUUAAAUUUUUACUCUAUUAGAUUGCGGAAAUUUUUUUACAAAUAGUUACUUCAGAAGUUUGCUUCAAAAAUUCGCUCAUCAAGCAGGAAAAAAAAUAGACUCCUACAAUUAAUGGAGAAUGAGAUUGAGACCAGGCGAUGAUGAGCUGUUCACCAAUUGUCUUUGCAAGAGAUUAAACAAAUAGGAAUGUAUGUUAAAAUGAUGGUUGAGUUGAUAAAAUCCUACGGUUGACAAAAGAGAAUUAAAGUUAGAAUCUUACGCACACAGUUUGAGUCGUGGAAAGGGGCUUUAAUUACCAAUAUGUUAUAUUUAAAUGCAAAAGAUUAUGUCAGGAUUUUGAAUCAAACGACUUCUUACCAUGCAAUUUUAAUCAAGGUGAUGGUGAUCGAUGCUUCUUAACUUCUUAUUUCGAGCGUUUAGAAUUGAGUUUGGACAGUUGUAAUUUAAAAAUUAUAGUAUUAAAAUAUUUGAUAAACACUAAUUACUAUAAUUUGAAAGUUCUGUUAAUACGAUUUUUCACUAGUAUCAUAGAAAAUAUAUUAAAAUUUAUAUUAAUUAUAUAUUAUUAAUUUUUAUUUUAUUGUUAUCAUUUUUUUUCCACAGCAGCUGUAGAUCAAACCUAAAUGAGUCCUUCAUCUCCAUGUAUAUUUAUAUACAUAUGAAUUUUCUUAAUAAGUAAAAAUUCAUUAAACCAAACACAAAUACAAUACAUAUUCCACUUUAGUAAGAUACACAUCUAGAUCAACUACAGAAAUAAGUUUGUUUUUUUUUUUAUAUUAAUCACGAGGUAUCCUGGGGAGGGCCCCAACUGUGGGAGGCACCUUUAAGCCCGUACCACAACCCAGACUAGAAGUCCCCGCUCGAACCGGGAGGCACAGAUUCUCCCAACAAAGGCGACUUCCCUGCGACUCGAACUGGAGAGCAAACUCAGUCAAGCCACUUAAGGGGACUCCAUUACCAAUGAAGCCAACACUUUGUUGGUACAGAAAUAAGUUUGUUAUAAUAGAUAACUUGUUCAACUAUGGCGGAGGAUGAAGAUGAUAAUGUUCUCGGCUGCUAUCCUCCAUGAUAUUCUAAAACAAAAGACACAGAUCCAUCGCAUGCAUGCCAAAAUCUGAGUAGAAGAAAAAGUUAUAAACGCAGUUGGAUCAUCCAACUUGACAUUAUUUAAGAGUCUCAAUUCGGUUAACAAGUCAAUUUUAAUUGAUACGUCGUAUCCCGAAUAGCGACAGACAAUGCAAAGCUGGUGGCUACUUGUAUCAGAUUUGCUUCCAUGCUUAGUCAAGAUUUUGUUGCGCGAUUGAAUUUUAACGUUAAUUAGCAAACGAAGGAACAUGGUCUUGCUUGAUCGGCACCAUAAAUAAAUGAUGGGUCAAUCACGUUAGCGUUGUUAAAGGUUAAUGAUUCAUUAAGAAGAAAAAAAAAAAAAAAACACAUUGAGAUUUAAGAUACAUUUCUAAAUUUAAGAAGAAUUAUGCUAAAAGUUAUUCUAAAUCCAUAUUGCUUUCAAAUUUUUUAAACCACAACCUGAAUUUUGUUUGAGUAAACAUAAAUAUGUAAUAUCAAUUAGAAAAAAAGAAAUUAUCAUUUAACUAUUUAGUUUUUUUUUUUUAUAUAUAUAUCACUUUACCAUCAAAUAUUUUGACAAUUAUUUUUUCACUUAAUAUUUCAGUUUUUAUUAUUGUCACAUAAAUAUUUAGGAAUUUCAGUAUGUUGGUAUUUUAAAAAAUUUCGUGAGGUAUAACAUUUAUAAUUUUUUCAAUUGAUUAUUUUAGAUAUAUGAAAUAAUUAAUCAGUAAAAGCAUUAUUUCUUUGUAUUCAAUUAAUUUUUAUUUUUAAUUUAGAGGGUUAAAUUAUACUUGCGUGACUUAUGGGUAAAACAAACUUUUAUUUUAAAAAAUUCUGUUAACUUUAAUGAUAUAAUAUAAUAGUAAAAUAAUAAAAAUUAUAAUUAUAAAAUAAUAUAUUUAAUAAUAAAAUAAUAAGUCAAAAAAUGAUAGAUAGUAAAACAAUAGUAUUUAAAAAAAAAUCAUCAAACAUAAAUCUAACAAGUAAAAUUUUCAAACGCCACCCAUCAACAAGCAAGCAGAGAAAUAAUAAUUGGAGAGAAAGAUAUUUCAGGAGAGGGCCCACCAAUCUGUACGGCUAAUUUGAGACAGCACGCCACCUCCGUAAAUUUAGGUUAGGCUGUCUCCUAUCUCCAUUAUUUUUCCAUUUUUUAAUAUUAUUAUUAAUGCCCUCGAGCACCGUGCUGCUCUCUCUCUCUCUCUUCCCCCCAACUUUUAUCAUCAUUUUUUUUCAAAAUUUUUAACUAAAUUAUUUUUUUAAUUAGAUUUCUUGGGUUUAUUUAUAUUGAAUUAAACGGGGAGCUCGAUUUUUCUGUGUCACAUGCCUAAGAGGAUCUUAACAUGUCGUAUAGAUCUUCCCACAUUACUUACUUUAAUCACCGACCAUAUUUGAUUUAUCUGGCUUAAUCAUAUCUAAUGAUAUCUAUUGAAAUAUAUAAUGACUACAUCCAAUGUAUUUAACUGAUGAUUUUAUCGUCUCAUAACAUAUACUAAUAUCAAUGUAAUGAUAUGUGUUCUAUUAAGGUAAUGAUCAUAAUAAAUGUGUGUAUAUAUCGAUGUUCAAUUCUUUUUAUGCUUGUCUUGUAAUAAAACGUGUUCAUAUUAUGAUCAAAAUGAGAAUUAAUACAUUAUUAAACGUAAAUUCAUCUGCACUCUCUUACCUUAAAACGUACGAUUAUUAGUUAGUAACUUAAAUUUCAACGUGUCCAUUGAAAACAACGUAUCGUCGACAUCUUUAUUAAUCAAUAGUGUGAUUAAUUGAAGAUGACUUUUGGCACUAAACAUGCAAGAGGUUUGUAAUUGGAGUCUAGAUUGAAAACAACGUAUCAUCAACCUCUUUAUUGAUGAUUAAUACCGUGAUGAAUCGAAGAUGACUUUGGAAUUAAACACGUAGGCGGUUUGUAAUUGAAGUCUUUCACAUCGAAACUAUAUCUCGUCUCCUGUUACACGUGUCUUACAUAUACAAAUAAUUUUUCUUUAGUAAUAAAAAAAUACAAAUUUAUACACAUGUGCUACUACAGUAAGAAAAUAACUACUUAUCUAACAAUAGAGAGAAACAAACACUAUGAAUAUUAUUGAAUAUGAUAGUAAAAGUUGGGCUAAAUUUUAGUUAUAUUAAGUGGGCUAUAUUCUUUUAUCCAAAAUUUCCAAACCCAAGUCCAAUUUUUUUCUUCUUUCUUCUUUCUUCCUUUUUUUUUUUGGGAAAAAAAAGAGAGACUUUAUUUGUUUAUUAUUUUUAAAAAAAGAAGUAAAGUAGAAAUGAUAAGGUAAAAAAGAGAAUGGCAUUACCGAGGCAAGAAGAAGAAAAUUAAGAAGAAACAAGAAACAGUGAAAAAGUAAACGGGGAGUAAAAGAAAAGACAGACAUAAAACAAAAGCAAGGGAAAUACUACAACCUCCAACAACACAUGCCUGCUUUUUCCCGUAUAAAGAUAGCGGCGCUCUCAGAGUCCCCCUUGCAAACACCCACUCUCCCUCACAGCACGUCCGUAGUACGCAUAGAAAAGAGCCGGCUGUGAAAUGCACGCGCGAGUAGAUAUGAUGUUCUUCAGCCUCCACGUUUUGCAGCCGCAGCUGUUAAUGCUCCCCAGAGUGCUAAUGCUAAUGCUUAAUGCUUAGUACGCACAUGACGAGGCGUUUUUUUUGUUUUUGUUUUGUAGUGAUCGUGAUAUUUUUGUUUAUUUUAUUUUUUUUAUUAUUAUUUGUAAAAUGAAAUGCCUCGAGCCCUGUGUUUAGUUGUAGCAGUGUUUUAUGAGUGUGUGUGUGUGAUGCGGUGAGUACCGGGCUCAAUAAAACCCGCGAGAUCUACUUUUUGUUCUUUUGCUUUCUCCAACACACGUCUCCGACUUUCACUCUCUCUUCACGCGCUUUUCUUUCGUCUGCUUCUCCACUCACCCAUUGAUUGCGUUCCUUAUUUUUUUGUUCGUUUACUUCGUAAAAUGGGAAUGAGAUAAAAUGAAAAUAAUAAUAAAUGAGUUGGAAUGAAAAUAAAAAAUAAAAAUAAUAUUUUAAUAUUUAUUUAGUAAAAGUAAAAGUAAAAGUAAAAGAUAAUGAGAAUGUAUUAAAAUAUCAUUAAUAUAUUUAAUAAAUGAAAAUGAAGAAUAAGAAGGAGAAUUAAUUUACCAAAAUACUUAUAGUAUUAAAUAAUAUAAUUUUUCUUAGCUAGGUACGUGUAUAAAUAUUAUUAUAAAAAUGAUAUUAAUUAAAAAUUAAAAAUUAAUAAUAAUAAUAAUAAAUGUUAAUAAUGAUAAUAUUAAUAAAAAUAACAAUAAUUAAUAAUAAUUAAAAUAAUAAAGUUAAUAAUAAUAAUAAUGACAUUUAAAAUAAUAAAAUUAAUUGUGAUUUGAACAAGGGUAAUUUGGGAACCAUGAAAAAUUAGAGGAAUACAAAAGUCAAGAAAUGGAAAUCCCCAUUUCGAAUUCCCAUGAGAAUGAGAUUCUCAUUCUUUAUUCCUAAUUGUGUGGGACUCACACAUUUUAUUUUCAUUUCUAAAUUAUAUUUUGCCAAGUAAACAUGAGUUUUAUUAUCUUUUCCUACACUCUCAAGUAAACACACCAUUAAUACUUUAUUUCAUUUUUAUGUUAAAGUUGUGAUUAGAAAACAGAUUGUUAAUAAAUAAUUAUCAAUUUUCAAAUGUCUCAAAUAAUCAAUUUAUAUGCAAAAGGAUCACAUUCUUUUAUUAAAUUUAAUGUUCUUUUAUUAUAGUACUCGAUUACACAAAUUAAUUGGAUUACAAAUUAGUUUUUAAAAUGAUUUAUUGACGAAUAAAAAUAACAAAUUACACAUUGAAUAACAGAAGAUAUAUUGAUUAAAAAAAAAUAAAAACGAACAAAAUCUAACUAUUAUCUUCCUUUGGAAUUUGAUGGCGGUACCGUAGUUAAAAUUAAUAAUCUUCUUUGUGUAAUUGUCUUUAAAGAAAAACGAGUGAGAACACGUCGGCGCGUGGGAUAGAAGCGGAAGUCGCGUUGGUGCCAGAACUGGGAUAUCCUUAGUACGAGCACUACAUUACGCUAGGAUGAGCAGAGAGCUACACGUGUCAUAAUCUUUAUGGCCUAAGAAAAGAACACAGAUGUGAGUCACGGUAGGUCGUUCUAGAUCAGCCUUUUUAUUUAUUACUCUUUUUUAGCUUUUUUUGGGGCAUGCCAAGUGGCAACUGUCAACGGCUGUUCCAUCUACAUUCUCUCCUCAUACUCCUCGGCCAGUCAGCCCUCACUCCUUCAAAAGAAAUUUUAAGGUUAAUUUCAAUGCGGCUAUCAAUUUUUUUAAUUUUCUCAAAAUAUCAAACGGCUGACAAAUUCAAACAAUUUUUCAAUAAAACCACUUAAAAAUUUACAAGUACCUUAUUUCGCAGCAAUAUCAAAAUUUUAAUUCAAAUUUCAACAUAAAUGUUUUGACACUUAUUGAAUAAUUAAUAAUUUUUGAUAAAUUUUAAGUGAUUUUUUUUAUAAAAUUUUAAAAUGUGUAGCACAACUCAUUUUAUAAUGAGUUCUAAUAAAUUUUUUACACACACAUAUAUAUAUAUAUCNNNNNNNNNNNNNNNNNNNNNNNNNNNNNNNNNNNNNNNNNNNNNNNNNNNNNNNNNNNNNNNNNNNNNNNNNNNNNNNNNNNNNNNNNNNNNNNNNNNNNNNNNNNNNNNNNNNNNNNNNNNNNNNNNNNNNNNNNNNNNNNNNNNNNNNNNNNNNNNNNNNNNNNNNNNNNNNNNNNNNNNNNNNNNNNNNNNNNNNNNNNNNNNNNNNNNNNNNNNNNNNNNNNNNNNNNNNNNNNNNNNNNNNNNNNNNNNNNNNNNNNNNNNNNNNNNNNNNNNNNNNNNNNNNNNNNNNNNNNNNNNNNNNNNNNNNNNNNNNNNNNNNNNNNNNNNNNNNNNNNNNNNNNNNNNNNNNNNAUAUAUAUAUAUAUAUAUAUAUAUAUAUAUAUUAAGAUGAAAAUGUGAACAAAACUUAAAUCUUUGUUUUAAUUCUUACAUCUUUCAAUAUUUGAACUCAAAUAAAAUAAUUUAAUAAAAUUACUCGAAAAUCUCUGAAUCAAACCCAAGUGACAAUGAAUGCUAAGGAAAUUCGGUAUAGUUUGCUACUGUUAUUCUUUUGGCCAAACACUAAUGUAUGUUGACUGUUGAAUAGAGGAUGGUAGGGCAAUUCUUUCCAUGUGACUAGCAAGAAGGUGAAGGUCUAGUAAUGAAAGGUCACUUUCUAUCAUACGACUCUAGUCCUAUCUUUCUAGUCUACACUCGUCUAGUUUUCUUCAACAUAACAGCUAAUUAUUUUGAUUUUUCUUUUUGACGAAGAACUUGAAGAUAUUCACCAUAAGGUGAGGAUAGUCCCAUAUAGCAAGUGAUGGAAUCAGAAAUAUAAUUAAAUCUCAUUUUCUUUCUAUCUUUUAGAUCAUUAACCACUCUUCAUUUUUUUGGAGCCAUUUCUAUUCUCUACCUUUAUUAUUUUUCUCACCAUAUUAUCACUCUUCGUAUCUUUAUUCACCGUCUUCAUUUUUAUUAACACCAAAUAUUUUUAUAUAGUUAUCUAGUAUGUUAUUCAUCUUAGAUAAUAUAAAAUUUUAUGUAACCUCUUAUUCAUAUAAUAGAUUGGUGAUUAUUUGCUCCUGUAGACGUAUGAGCUUAUCUGAUGUAUCUAGUUAUACUAAGCAUUAUGUGAGACCACUUGAGUUAUCCCCCUAGUACAUUUGAGCUAUUCAUGAGUACAUAUUAGUCCAAUAUAUCAACCCCUUAUGGGGCUCCACUAAGCUCUUCCUAUUAUUUAUCAUAUGACUACCUCAGCUCACUAUGCAUAUUAUUUUUGCUCACUACUUAGUGUACCUAAAAUAAACCACUUACUCCCAAAAAUACAUAAAUAAAUAAAUAAACCCAAACUUAGCACAAGCUUCCCUCAAAUAUAAAUUUAUUGGUUUAAAUCAGAUUUGAGCUAGAUUCGGUGAGAACUGCCAAAUUAAUUUGAAUAAGAUUCUAACAAAAUUUGGUCAACAUGCAUUCACACACAUCCUCUCAAUAAUACCUGAAAAAAAUACAUUCACUCGCACUAUCCUUUGAUAGAGGAAAAUUAUUUUGAGUUCCUGUACUGUUAGUAAUAUUGAAAACACCAAUUCGACCACAACUUAGUGCCCAUUUAUGUUACUGGUUAUUACAAUAACAUAUGGACGAUUUGCAAUGCCGAAAAUUUCGCUCAUUGACAAUGUUAUUUCAUCUUCAGUGCAUUCUGUAAGUCCCCACUCCCCAAUAUCCCAACCACAUGUAUGUCAGUACAAUAUUGCUGAAUUUAAGCAGACGACAAACCUUUUGGGAGCCUUAGCUGGAUUUCCCCCAUUUUUAGGCCUGGCACACCCAAGUUAUAGGUGAGGCUGGGGUGAAGCUAGGGCUUCCAAAGAACCAAAUUUGCUUGGCUUUAAAUAAAACACUAAAAAUCCUAAUAAAUUGCUAGGAGUAGAAUGGUCCCUUUCCAAAACGACAAAAGUUGUCAUUCAAUCAUAGGACAAAUUUUCAUAAUUGGGCAGCUAAUAAAUUGUUGAAAGUGAUGGGCAAAAUGGCAGGACAUGGAAAAGUAAAGAGAGAUCCCCAUCUCUUCGAUGCCCAAUAGAAGAUUUUGCAAGUCCUUUUCAUAAUAAGUGAAAGCUUAUGCUUCAAUUAUUUAAGACCUAGUGAAAGUCUAUGCUAUAUUCUAUGACCUAGUUGCCCUAUAACACAACAUUAGGAUGCUUAGGCUGUGCCCCGGAAACAUUACGACAUGUAGAUAUUGUCCAAGUUAGGACUGUGAUUUAUAGUCUAUUAUUGCUAGCUAUGUCUUUUGUAUUUUCCACUUUUUCUUCUUCUAAUAAAGAAUCAAAACAAUUUAUAUCUACAUCUUUUUCUACAACUAAAGUUUUCUUUUCAUGUGGUAAGAUAUGUGUUUCGUAUUUAGGUUGAAUAAAUAUUGAUUUUUUUUUAAAAAUUUACUCCAUUAGGAGUUAUUAGUAUAUUAUACCAUUAUUUCCUAAUAUAAAAUUUAAUCCUAAAGUAAAUUUAGAUUCUUUAUUGAUUUUUCCCCCAAUUUAAUACUAUAAUUGAGUGGCGGCUUGUGUGUGUAUGAGUUGAGUUUUAUGGAAUUUUGUGGCCCAAAAUCAGAUGGGUGAACGUUAGGUGGGCUAGUUCAAUAAGCAGUCCAAACCUUACCCAGACAUCACGCACUUCACGGAAGCUCAUGGUUCGGCCUAACCACAAACAAGUUUAGUUUUUCACUUUGUGAAGCUAUUAGCACCCCCUCCCAAAUCCUCGGAAGCCCUCUAUAUUUUUUUUUUCUAUGAAUAUCCAUUAUGAUAUAAUUAAAAAGAAAAUGGAUCUUCUACUUAUUCUAAAAUGGAUCUUUGUGGGGUUGCAUUCUUAAUUUACAUCAUUGCCUUCUAAUAGGCAUAAUCAUUACCAUCAGAGAAGAAGACGUGUGUAUAAAAUCCCUCUACAGUUGAUGCAUUAGCUCCCAUUGCCAUGAUCACUCUUGGAUCAUUAGAUCAUUAUCAAUUACAAAACAGCUCCUUACCAAUUAAAGCUAUUUACUACAUUUUUUAACCAAGUUUCAAACUUAAAUUACCCAAACCCAUAUAAGAAGGGGAAUCACAUUAUGGAUUUAUUAGCUAAACCAAGUGUUUCUAAAUGUCAAACAACUAAAGCAAUAUCAAUACAAAUGAAUAGCUAUUGUUUAACAAGGAAUUGAAUUAUUUGAUUCAACUAUCUAUUAUCAAAACAAGUUGUUUUGACGACAGCCGAUUCCAAUGGAAAGCUAAUAAUACUUGUAGAUAUAUGAGAGAAGGAUUCUGAAAAUUAUUUAGUUUAAUUUCUCUCUCUACAUAAAUCAUAGUCCGCAUUUAGUUAGAAGAAACGAAAGGAGAGGAGAAAAAUAAAACAGAAAGAAAGGAAAAGAAAAUUAGAGAAAAAAAAGAGUUAAUCUCAAUUUUAUUGUUUGAUUUAUCAUUAAAAUUAUCUUUUCUUUUCUAAUUUCUUUCCUCUCUCCUCCUUUCCUAUCCUCCUCUUUCUUUUCAUUUUUUUAAAAAACAAACAUAUCAGUUACCCUAAACAAAACUUGUGACUAUAUUAAGUGCAAGACCAAUUCUUUCUUAAACGAAUAAACCUCAAAAGCGUAAGCAAUAUAAGAAGAGUAAAUAAUAAGGGAAGCAAGUGGAGAUGCAACAAUAAAUUUAAACCUGUAGAAAAAUAAAGAUAUAAAAAUAUAAAGUGAUAAAAUGGAGCGAGUGAAGGCACUAGCGAUAUUUAGGUGGUUCAGCAACUCUACCUAAGUCCUGGUUAAACUUCCAGUUGCUAAUCAAACCUAUACACAAGACCUGAUUGGCUUAUGAGAGCUAAUCAAACUGUUUCAAGGUACAAAAGAAAGUUUGACUGCCAAGGGGACAAGCAAAAAACACCCACAAACUUACUUUUGUCAUGCAGAAGUAAACCACCACAAGCAGCCAUUUC
rnacentral:lncRNA from 1 species